GAAUCUCACCUAGGCUUGUAAACUCUUGCUGGUAUUUCAUCUGCAUGAGACUGAGACCUGCUUUUACAGCCUUUAAAUCAUGUUUCAGUUCCUGCCAACACAUAUACACUCUGUCUUGAUAAUCACCAAAUAAAAAUUCUUAAAAGAAACAUGAUGUCAUAUAUAACUAUUUACAUUCAACUGAAUUAUACCUCAGUAUGAGUUUGUUGUCUGUCGAUUAUCAUUUGUUGCUUCUCGGUCUUCUCUUUUGAAAUCGCAUAGAGCUCACAAUCUUGGCUUUUCGAUUCAUCAACAUUAUUAUUUUCUGAAGCUUCCAUGUUGUUGUUUACAAUCUUUGACAAAUUUUCUUCUCCAUACUGAAAAAAUAAUAUGUAAACCAGUUUGCCAUAUAAUACAUUGAUCGAUAAACAGAUCCAUGAAGAGUAAUAUGCUUAUAUGGAUAACAAGACCACCAAUUUCAAGGUUGCCUUACCGAAGCAUCACUUAGCGUCUCUUCAUUUCCUGAAAUAGUUCUGCCAAGAUCGUCACAGCCAAGCUUAUCUUUGUUUCCCGCGCUCAUAUGGAUCUAAAUAAUUGAAUUGCAUAUUCAAGAUGGUAAUCCAAGAGACAUGAGAUCAAGCCCAUAAGUCCAUAUAGAUCUUAAGGGCGUAUAACUAAAGUUACUUACCAAUUCGUUUUGUGUUGCUAAUCUACGUUCAUAUUCUACCAUGACACUUUUCAGCAUAUCUUCCACAAUCUGGAAACAAACAAGAACAUCACGGAGUAUUAUUCUAAAACCGGCAUUUCAAAAUAAUAUUGAUCAAUCGUUUGGUAAGUUCCCAGCUGAUGAAGUGAGAGAAUAAUAAAUAGGAAGGGUUGUUAGUUGCUUACUCCGGGAAUUCUUCUUGCUUCAUGUCACAAAAAACCGCACGGACAAUGGCAUCUAUUGAAUUGGCAGUUCCCUAAAAAAAAUAAAAAAAAUGUAAGUUGAGAUUUUUAAGUUUAAUCAAAAAUAGGGAUUAUAUUAGGCAUUGGUAUAGCUCACUAACUUCAUGUUUGGUAUUAGAAUCAGAUUGAUCAAACAAAGGUUGUUCACUGGAUUGAGUGCUAAAAGGGCUACUUGUGACCGCAUCCACAUGUGCUUCUGAGUCUUUACGUUUGUAUUGUUUUGCGAUUCCAAACGUGGUUGGUUUCGAGUUCAAAAUGUAUCUCCAUGUACCGCUUCCUCCGCUCUGUUUCCACUCACGAUAUGACUUGAGAGCCAAAAGACACUCCACAAUUCUUGCGGAUUUACCUCCCUGGGAACAAAUCAAACACAAAACAGAAUGUUAAUUCAUUUCCACAUUAUAUAAAUGUAGAUUGGUACAGCGAGUUAUUCUAAUUGCUAAAAUACUAAUCUAGGUAGCUUUGUCUAGGUAGCCCCUCCGGCAAGGUAGGUCAAGCUGCCUUGAGCCCUUGAAUAACUAUAAUGACAAUUGAUUCGAACCUAACCUAUGCUAGCAUCAACCCUAAUGUUCUGCGAUACCACUACUAGGCAUCAUCUCUCAAACUAAAUACCACAAUCCUCGGUGAUACGUUUCAUCUAUUAAGCCUAGAUCGUCAGAUAUAAUUUGUUCCAUUACCUUCUCAAAAUCGGAGACUUCAAACGUUGGAAUACCCAUUUCCUCCACAACCACAAGAAAAUUUCGAAGAUUCUCAAAGUACUGAAACGCAGAUAGAGCUGCACCGUCUUGGUUAACAAGAGGAUCAUUUGGAGCUUCAACGACCUGAAUCAAGACUGAAAUACUCAGAACAGACAAUCCUAAUUACACACGAAGAUAUCGGCAACAAAAUAGUUAAUUCCUGAAACUCUUUAAAACAAAAUGGUACUAAUCAUGCUUGCACAACUUUAUACAGGCAGGCCUUAACGUUUCAAAAAUGUAGCUUAAAUAUUUAAUCCUUGACAAUAUUCUGUAAUAAAGUAAUUAGGGGAGAGACAUUACUUUUGGUACAGCACCAGGUUUAACUCUGUUGAGGACAUUGCAGAGCAAAAUUCCACUUCUUAAUGCAAUUCUGAAAUCAUCCUCUGAAGGAUCAGCUGGCAAAUCUCUUCCUCCAACUACACCAAGUGUGUUUCUUACCCACCUUGCUGCUUCAUACCUUCUCAAGUCUGAAGGAUCUACUGGCAAAUCCCUUCCUCCAACUACACAUAUUGUGAUUUCGUUUUCUCAUAAUUGAUUUCAAUUAAUCAAGUGAAUAUAAAAUGUACAAGCCGGAAGUGAAGAACAUGUAGACAAUAAAGCUUUCUCACAAUUGAUGAUUAAGCAUCAUGAUGAUCCAAGAAAAUAAAAAUGAAAAGAGGAUUCAAAGAAUGCGAUGGAUCAUCCUUAUAUUCCCUGAUUCGAUUGUCAAUUACAAACCCUAAUCUCAAAAAUCCAUAUUCAGAAACUUCCUAUUCAAAAUAUGGACCAAAGAAGAGAAACGGAAAAAGAAAGAAGAGAGGGAUUGACGAACGUACAAGUUUCAUCGGCCUUUUUCGAGCUCGAAUCCGCACCAACGCGAAUAUUUCGUUGUUUAAGAAAAUCCUCCAGAAUCGAUGCUAAACAGAGUUGCGAAUCUUGUUGCUCGGUCGCCAUUGACAAGAAACGAUUCAAUGCUUUUAGCUUGAUCAACAAGAUACCUGGAUAUUUUCAAAUUCAACUCCCAAAUCUCGCCGCUAGAAUCUCACAACCUAAAUUUUGAAUUCUUAGCUUGAAACAGAUUUUUCCAAAAUAGAACAAAGAAAAUCAAAGCUGUGUAGAUACAAGAAUAUUCACUUAUAUGUGGAACAUUGCUCUGUUUUAUAAGGAAGAGAAAAGAAAGUGAAAGAAAUUGAUAUUUAGAAGAAAAAAAAUGUAAUUGACCCCUCUCUUUUUUUUUUUUUUUUUUUUUUGCAAUUAAAACAAGAGAAAAGAAAACGAAGAAGAAGAGCGAGGCAUGAUCCAGAUUCCAGACUCCAGAGGCCCCCGAGUCUCCUGGGUUUCUUCUAUAGAUGGACAAUUUCAAUAUUAAAAAUUAAUCAUUUUUCAAUUUUUUUGUUAAUUAUUCUUAAUUGAUCCAUUUAAUAUGUACGAACUUAUAUAUAGUUAUGGAGUUUAUAACCCGUAUAUAUGUAGUUUCAAACCAUCCACUAGGUUCUAUAAUGGUUAUAACUAAAUUAGUACUAUAUAUGUUUUAACAAAAUUCGUAGCUAUUAAAAUUCCCAAUUGAUCUAAUUAUACGGAAAUUGCUUCCGAAUGAUUUGUACUGAUAUCAUUGUCUUAUUAAAAUCUAUGUUUAAUUAGAAAUAUGCAUGUGUUAGCUUUAUAUACCAAUAAAAAUGUGCAAUUCUAUAGCUUGACUUAACUUCCUACCUUUAUAAUUAAGGGUAUUAUAACCAACAUAAAUAUUAUACAGAUCCCUUGUAAUAAAUUAGAAAGUGGAAAAUAAAUUCUGGGGAUCCCUAAAUUCUAUGAAGAAAUACAGGCUUAUUAUGAUGAAACUCAUUUGGUUGGACAACUACCUUGUUUGUAGAACUAAUUUUUCUUGCGUAUAGAGGUGUUUUAAAAGCCAAUAUAAACAUGAUAUCAUGACUAGAUGGUUUUAUAACCAGAUGAAUAAAGGUCGGCAUGAAAAUUUAUUUUUAGUUUUUCUUCAAUAUAUAUAAUUUGGUCAACAAGAAAUAAGAUAUAUAUUUAGAAAUAUAAACGAAAAAGAAGCUUUGCUAUGAUGAUUGUAACCACAUCUUUUGAAAGUGACCCUUUUAAUUAUCCAAUUCAUUGAAAAUAAGAUGUUUCAAUUUCUUGUAGACUUUUUUUCAAUAAUAUUCUAUUUUUCUUUUCGUGAUACAUUUAUUGAACAUGAUACCAACUCAUUCAAAAAUAAGUGGUUAUAUAAUAUUUUAAUGCUGUUAGUAUAUAUAUAUACACACACAUAAGAUAUUGGAAAAAACAGACACGUAUUUUCACGAAGUUAUAUGUUGCUAUCGUAUAAUUCUUGGAAACUUGGAUUUAAUUAGUUUUAGCACCAGUUGGCAACCUGAUGUAGAUUAUUGUAAAGUGAUAUGUGAUGUAGAUUAUUGCGGUUCGUGAACGGAAUGAGAAAAGAAAGAUAGACAUUGUAAUAGGUUAGUUUACACACUUAGUUAAACGAAAACAAUGGAAAGUAACUAACUAGACUCAUUCAGAAAUUAAACGAAAUGAAACAAAAAAUAGCGAUCGUAUUAGGUUAGUUUUGACACUUACUCAAUGUUUAUGUUUGUAUUGAUCGUGUCUAAAACAAUUGUACGUGAUCACAAAAAGAAAAAAUGUACGUGAUCACUACAUGAUGUGUAUACAAUUUGAAACAAACAAAAAUACAUAAAGAUAGUUUUAGCCAGGCAAAAAUGUUGGGCCUUUUCAUACCUAGAAAAAGUUAGUUGGAGGCCUUUCCUUAGGAAUUUUUAAAAAUUUGAUAAAUGAGAGGCGUCGACACCUUACUAAAAUAAACGUAAAUAUUUCGCUAAAAUUGAUCUUGUUAUAAACUAUGUAAUCUUAUUAACACAUAAGAGAGUAUAUAUAUGAGUUUACACAGAAACACAUCAAAGGAGAUAAAAUUUAAUAGGCCUUGGGCCGGUUAUGGAGUCCAUCCAUAUGAUUUAUAACAGAUCUAUAGUAGUGGCAUCCAUUUCUUUUUUCUCAAGAAAAUGAGAUUAAUUUAGACGUUGACCAGAUGAAAUUCGUAUAAAUUAUAAAUAGAGAUCUAUAAUGAGUACUACACAUAACCGCAUUUUUUCCUCUAGUUAAUUAGAUAGUGAUCAAACACAUAAGAUUAGUCUGGAGGAGAUACACAAAUUCAUGAAACCAAUGGCUCACGUAUUACUACUGUUACUUGCGAUUCAUGCGCAUAUCCAAGCCGUUGUUUCAAUCACAGCCGUCCAUCUGAAACCUAACUCCAUCUCAGGAACUACAACGUGUUGUGAGAUAGAUAACCCAUUUUGGCGACGGGAGCUUCGAAGCAGCGGUGGUAGCGGCGGAGGAGGUCAUGGUGGUGGAAGCAGUGGUCGAGGCGGAAACAGCGGUAAAGGCGGCAGUAGAGAUGGAGGAGGUAGCGGUGGCGCUGGGAGUGGAAGAUCUUCUAAUAGUGGCGGCCAUCGCAGCAGUGGUAGUAGCAAUGGUGGCCAUUCUGUAGGAAGCGGCGGUGACUGCUUGAAACACCGUGGUCUCACCGGUUCUACAUUAUUUCUCGUCUUUGUAACCUCUUUGAUUAUUUACACGUUGAAACAGUAAUUACAUGUUAUUUUAUUUUUGCUUCAUAAUUAAAUAUUGUAUAUACACUUUGAUAAUGUCUGAUGACCAAAAAAAAAAAAUUAAAUCGUAUGUGUUUGAAUUAAAUGUGGCUACCUUAACCUCGUCGGCUCAUAAAUAACUUGAGGAGGAAAUAAACUCUCCUGGCCAUUAAGUUUUUGCCACGUCGUAUCAAGCCUUCACUUUCUUAUUGGUUCUGUUAACCCAAAAAAUCUUUAAAAGUCCAACAAAAACAUCGCAACCGCGGAUCGGACGGUUCAUAUUGAUCGAAUGACGUCAACGACAAUGAUGACUACCAAUCACAAGAUUCCACAUCAAUUCACUAGCUCCCUAUCACCCACGUAUUUUUUUUCUUUCCUUUUUUUAGGUAUAUAUAUAUAUAUAUAUAUAAUAAUGUUACGGCAUAGUUAUAUAUCUCCAUCAACGAAACGAAACUUUGAUUUUUGGUUCUUCAUAUCUCCCGAUUCUGUUCUGGUGGUGUUUAUUGUUUAUCGUUUGUGGAUUCUAAUUAGAUCUGAGGAAGACGACGUCAUGUUUUUGUUUGAUUGGUUCUAUGGAAUAUUUGCCUCGUUAGGUUUGUGGCAGAAAGAAGCGAAGAUCUUGUUUCUAGGCCUGGACAAUGCCGGAAAAACUACUUUACUUCACAUGCUAAAAGACGAGGUCAGCUUUAUUACUUGUACGCUCUCUCUUCUACUGAUAUAUAUAUAUAUAUAUAUAUAUAUAUGUAUUAAUCUCGAAUUUGGUGUUGCAGAGAUUAGUUCAGCACCAGCCAACACAGCAUCCCACGUCGGAGGAACUUAGCAUUGGCAAAAUCAAGUUCAAGGCCUUUGAUUUGGGUGGCCAUCAGAUUGCUCGUCGGGUUUGGAAAGACUACUAUGCCAAGGUUCUCAUCAUACUCCUAACUAGAUUUUAUGUUUUGUACAAAUUGCAAAAAGAAAAAAAAAUUGAUAAUCUCUUUGUUGAUAGAUAUGGUGGAAAUAGUUCAUAAUAUUGAUUUGCUUAUACUGGAACCAAAAUCAAAAGAUUUGCUGACAGAAGAAACUCCUUUCUCUGUGUGUGUGUGUAAAGGUUGAUGCUGUUGUCUACCUAGUGGAUGCUUACGACAGGGAGAGAUUUGUGGAGUCGAAAAGAGAGCUAGACGCUCUUUUAUCAGAUGAAGCCUUAGCAAAUGUUCCCUGUCUUAUUCUUGGCAACAAGAUUGAUAUUCCUUAUGCAUCCUCAGAAGAUGAGCUCAGGUAUCACUUGGGUCUCACCAAUUUCACUACCGGUAAAGGCAAUGUGAGUCUUGAAAACUCUGGUGUUCGUCCCCUUGAGGUCUUCAUGUGCAGCAUCGUUCGCAAAAUGGGUUAUGGUGAAGGGUUUAAAUGGCUAUCUCAGUAUAUCAAGUAGACAGCAUUGGUGAUUGCUUCACGGUUUAUGAAUGAGACAUCCAAUUUUUCUAUUUGAAAAGACAUAAACUCUCUCUAUUCUAGUUUUCUCUAAGUUUUAAUAGUAGUAAGUCGUCUCCAAACUUGUUGUGCAUUAUACUAUUGAAGUAGUUGUGUUUCUUUGUUGAAUCAACCCGAACAAAAUGGAUUCUGUUCUAAUCAUUUCAUUAGAAAUUAAUCAAACAUCGAUCUUCAGUGCCAGAAAGAUAUAAAUAUGCUAACAAAUGAUCUUGAUUACCAUAUUUAGCAACAAGCCUGGCCUCUAUUCACAAAACCAGCUACUUCUCAGACUGGAAACAUCGCAAAUGGUGCUUUGGCCAGUAGUCUUUCUAAGGCAAUUCUUUUUCAUCAACGUUCGUACCUUCUCCACAUCUUGCCAUCUCCCUUCCUCUGCAUACAAAUUAGAUAACAACACAUAAUUCCCAGAAUUCCCUGGCUCAAUCUUCACUAACUCCAUUGCUGCAAGUUCUGCUAGCUUUACAUCUCCGUGGCUGCGACAAGCACUAAGUAGCGACCCCCACAUUGCCGCAUUUGCGUUGACGGGCAUAUUUCUGAGAAACUCAAAUGCCUCUCUGAUUCGCCCACUCCUACUCAUUAAAUCUACCAUCGCCCCGUAAUGCUCAGUUCUCGGCUCAAGUUUGAAUCUUUCCAUCAUUAAACCAAACAAUUCUUCUCCUCUCUCCACCUGACCUGUGUAUGAGCAACAUGCCAAAACCCCCAAAAAUGUCGCUUCAUUUGGAGCUACUUUCCCUUCCUCGAUCAUAGCAUCAAACAAGUCUAUCCCAGAUUCUCCCUUUCCGUUCACGGCUGAUCCCGAUAUCAUUGUGUUCCAUGAAACAACGUUUCUCCGCUGCAUUUUUCUAAAUAUAGCCGUUGCUGCCUCUAAGUCGCCGCUUUUGCAGUAGAAAUCUACCAAAGCGUUUCCCACGGUGAUGAAAUCUUUAAUCAAACCAUUGGAUUCUGCGGUAGAAUGAAUCCAUUUUCCGGUAUCCAAAACUCCGAGAGAUGCAGAGAUUGGCAACAUUGUAACCACAGUUGCCUCGUCUGGAUCAAAACCUUGGUCAAUCAUUUCGCAGAAAAGCUCCAAAGCCUCACGAUCUCUACCACAUUUAGACAAGCUAGAUAUCAUCGAAUUCCACGACACAAUGCUUCUUUCGCUCAUCUGUUUGAAAAAACUAAGACCUCUUUGAACGUCUCCAGAAUCACAGAACCCGCGAACCAUAAGAUUCCAGACGACCACGUUUCUUUCAGGCAUUUCGUCGAACACUUUCUGGGCAUCACCCAUUCUCCCACCGGAGGUAUACAGCUCCACCACCCCAAUCCUUACUUUCCCAAGCCGGUGGAACCCAGUCCUAAUAACCUCACCGUGAACGCAUUUCCCAAACCGCAAAUCAGAAAGUGACGAACAGGAUUUGAGCAAAGGCGCGUAAGUAUACUCGUCAGCCCAAAUUCCGCGGCUUUUCAUGGAAGAGAAGAAAGAUAAAGAUUCUAGAGGCGGACCGACGAGGGAGUAGCAUUUGAUGAUGGCGUUGAAGACGAGAAUGUUCGGGUUUUGGAUAUGAGAGAAGACGCGGGAGGCGUAAUCAGAGUACGUGAGGGAUCCGCAGAUGGAGAUAAAGUGGGCAAGAAGGAGAUUGGAACCAUGAAGGAAGUGACGGAGAAGAUGGGCAUGGAUUUCGGGUAAACGGGUUCGAGUUCUGUGGCCGUGGAGAAGACGCAGCAGCUUACGCUCGACUUCCAUUAAACCUCCUCUGCUCCUCUCUACCACUCUCGCUCAAUUGUUGUUGCUUUGCGCCAAUUUCAAACGCUAUUGGUUUAAGUACCGGUUAAGUAUCGGUUUAAUACAACAUUUGCUUACUGGUUAACUGCCGUUUAGCUACCACUCGACCAUCUGGAUUUGCUUAUGUUCAAGUAAGUUGCUUAUUGUAUCCACUUCUAGUUAUCCUGGGGUGUUUGUAUUUUAUACUAGGAUUCAAAAUGUCGUAUCUUAAAUUUUUAUGAUAUACCAAACUUGUUUUUGUUGUAAAUAUUAGUUUUAGUAUUCAUUAAGAAACCCCCAAAAUUCUGAAAAUUAGAAAUCUCAACGUUUUCAGAUAUUAAAACUUGUCAUUGGUUGCUUCUUCACCAUGGUAGUAGCAUUUUUCAGAUGAGAAUCAAGGGCUUCACCCGCCCCGGCUUCAUUCACUUGGUCCUGCAGCCAUGUGUAGAUGCCGUUGGUUCGCAGGCAACCAUUUCAACAUCUGCUUGAAAACCAAAUGCACAUCCAGUGGGAAAAGAUAACAUGGAGUCAUAUUUUGGCAAACAAAACUAAGUGGGAGAGGGAAACUUGUGGUAAGGGGUUUUGUGGACCCAAAUAGUUAGACAAUGACAAAAUGUAAUGAUACAACAAGUCCGUCAGGGUUGGCUACGAUGCUUAAUUACCUCUUUUCAUUAGACCAAUUCAUUCUGCGUACAAUCAUAGUUUUACCAUCAGUUUCUGGUUUAAAACUGCAAGAUCAUGGAUAACUAAAGAUCACCUGACGUUUUUGACUUCAUAAAUUGGACAACGAAAAACUCCAGGAAAGAAACCAACAACUCUCUGUACCAAAUGAUGUAGAGGUUUAGUUCUACCGUGACAGGGGUAUGGUUUAUGAUGGUUAUGAGGUGUUAGAUAGCAUGCUUUUGAUCUUUGAUGCAGAGAAUGUUUCUCAUACCUGUGAGAGCUGCCUCAGUUUUGACAUACCGAUGAUUCAUUGAGCUUACAUACCGUCUGAUUCUCUGAUGAUUUUCAGGAAGGAAAAACAAUCAUCAUUUCCUUUUUGUAUAGCUGCUGAGUUCAAAGCAAACAGAUACGAGAAAGUUACAUAUGGAAACUUUGGAGACAUAAGCUGUUGAGGUAAUGUUUCCACUGUUGUCUCUGUUACUGUUUCUAAUCAAUCAUACAUAUUUUGCUGAUAGGUGUCAGUUCAUUGCAAGAAUUCAAACAUUUGAUAAUGAAAGAGAAACUGAUCGAAGUUAUUGGGUAAUGAAAGUUUACCCUUUUAAAAUGCUCAACUUCUUUCUCCAGUUGGGAUUCAUUAGAGUUUUUGUUUACUUGAUCUUGAUAACCAACUUCUACGGGUUCCUGGUGUUGUUUUUUUUCUUUCAGCACCUGCAAUCAAACAAACAAAAAUCCUAGUAAAGUGAAGAGAUAAAGAUUUAAGACAAUGAUGUUGGGUUGAUUGGUUGAGAUAGAAAUAUCCAUUCUAGCCCCAGCAAGGAAAUUAACUAACAAGUUCAAAUUUUCACAAGAAAAUAUAUAAACUAAGAGGUGAUCAACAAACCGAGGUACAACAGGGUUGAUUGUAGUGUUUGAAAAAAUUAUUCAAUGGUUUUCGCAGUGUAGGAAGUAGAAUGAUUAAAAAGAUGUACUUACGAGUUUGAAGGUCUCGGAAGAUUCAAGAAAUUCAACUUCUUGGAGAUCCAUAUUCUCAUUACGUUGAAGUAUAACCGAUAAUCGUGUAAUCAAACACAAAAUUAUGAAUUUUCGCUUUGCCUGCAACAGACAACAUAAGGAUUACAACAACCACAUCAACAAAUUGAUCCUGGUUUACUAAGCUGAUAUAUGACACAAUACCUCCUCAGUGAAGUCUUUAAGAGGUGCACGAUCAAGCUUAGGAAACUUUUUUCUUUGGUAUCUCACAAGCAUAGCUAUAAGCUGAAAAUGAUGGAUAGUAAUCAGAAAAACAGUAAAUUCAAGGCAAGUGUUUCCUUCUAGAGGAUUAAGUACCCUACCUCGAUUUCCUCAGCAGUGUAGCUAUGGAGAUGAUCCCCAUUCUACGAAAGAAGAAAUUAUUAAUAACAAUGAGGACUAAACAAAUACUGAAAACCUACAACAAAGUUUAUAAUAGAAACAUAGAGUACUCUGGGUGAUAAGCUUUUGUGAGUUGCUUUUCCAGCUUUGUAAAGAGCUGUGCUUAUUGAAUGGUAUAUUUGACAGUGUUGGAUGAACUAACCUUGAUGAUAUGAUAAGACUGCUUAUGAUAUCCCUUUUUCCCUAUGAUGAUUCCGAUAUUGUGCAAGAAACAAGCAGCUUCGAGAUACUCAAGCUCCUUAUCGUCUAAGAUAACCUUAAAAUCAUUGCACUUCCUCAAACCUACAUAGAUCUCCUGGAAAAUAACUGUAGUAUCAAACCUACUGAAUUAAACAAAAUGGCCAGAUUCGGUUGUCCAGAGCUUGAAAUGAAAUCUGAAACCAUUAGGCACUAGCGCACACAUACAAAAAAAGAGAGAUAAAUAUGACCAGAGCAAUGCCUAUUCAAAGGAUAUGACAAAAAGCUAUAACCUUUAUGAAUAUUUCACUAUUAAGUUGCUCAUGAAAAGUAAUAUACCUUGGCGAUCUUGGCACAGUGUAUCGCGUGAGUCAUUCGCUUUUUACCAUUGAAUCGCGUGGCAAGCCGCAUGACCGACCGCCACCUUGCAUUGGCAUUCAAAUCAUAUGAUCCAUCAAAAGCUUUGGCCAGAGAAUCAGCAAUCACACCCUCUGCCAACGCAUACUCUGAGACCUCCAAAUCCUCUAUACCAAGAGCCUUGAAUAUUUCCUCCAACAAUACGGCCCCAGCAACAAUGAACUCUGAUCUUCUCUUGAAAAAUCCCUCCCUCCGAAUCAGCUCUUCGUCUCCUUCACUGCAUAGCUUCGCUACAACGCUGCUCAGCUCUCUUGUGCCAAAUCUCCAGUCCCUCUUAUACCCUUCCAAAUUGAAUUCACACAAAUCAGCUCCAUAGCCACUGAAAACUGCAUUCUCAAUAGCUCUUAUAGUUCCAGAAGAUCCCACAACCAUCUCAAAGCCAUUGGAUUCCUUCAAUCUAUCUGCUAACCUAGACUCAUCAAUCGCAUGACGGAUAUAGUCUCUCAUUUCCUUCAAUCCAAUACCACCAUUUUUCAUAAACAUCUGUGUCAAAUUCACAUGACCUAGCUUCAAAGAAACAGCAAGCUUCACAUCACCACACUUACCAACCACAAAUUCAGUAGAACCACCUCCAAUAUCAACACACAACACUGAUUUCUCAAACACGGGAAGAAACUGAAGCACGCCUAAAUAAACUAACCUCGCUUCCUCUUCACCGGAAAGCACAUCGACCUUAAGCCCAACAUCCUCGAAAACCGCAUCCACAAACUCUUUCUGAUUCUCUGCUCGCCGUAAUGCUUCCGUCGCGACGCAUCGGAUCCGGUCAACGGAGACGUUGUGUGAGAGAAUCAAACUUUUGAAUUUCCGUAGGGAUUGAAGCGCGCGAGCCUGAGAUUGAGACGAAAUUGAGGUCGGAGAUUCGCGAGACAACACCACUGGCUCUCUGAGUCUCUCGAUCGGAACGAAAGAUCUACCACAAGGAUCAGCGUGGACUAUAAGAAGCUUGAAAGAGUUUGUUCCCAUAUCAAUGGAAGUGAAAAGCUGCGAUGAUAAAGGACUCGAUUGCAAAUUUGAGUUCAUCGUCGAUCGAAUCUCUUCACAAUUUGCUCCAAUGCUGAUUUUGUUAUCUACCGAGUUAAACACAAUUAAAAAUUUCGAUUAGGUAACUAAGUCAAUAAAAAAAAAAAGUCUACAUGCAAAUUACACAUAAACCCAAUUUUAUAAGAGACCCGAUUUUGAUAGAGCAUCAUAAUUUUCUUUUAACAACUAUGAUAGAAGAUAAGAUAAUUGAUUAGAAUUAAUAUUGAAACCCUUGGAUUAAACUUGAAAUUUUACAUUCUUAUCGUUCGUUCUAAAGAAACACAAAAGCCAGCCACCAGAAUACUUAGAUCUAAGCUCUUUCUCCUCUGAUUCUUCUUGCGAGCUGGAUGUCCUUGGGCAUGAUGGUGACUCUCUUGGCAUGAAUAGCGCAGAGAUUGGUGUCUUCGAAGAGUCCGACGAGGUAAGCUUCAGCAGCUUCCUGGAGGGCGGCGACGGCACUGCUCUGGAAACGGAGAUCGGUCUUGAAGUCCUGAGCGAUCUCUCUCACAAGCCUCUGGAAAGGAAGUUUACGGAUCAGAAGCUCAGUGCUCUUCUGGUACUUCCUGAUUUCUCUUAGAGCUACGGUUCCGGGUCUGAAUCUGUGAGGUUUCUUCACUCCUCCGGUGGCUGGAGCAGAUUUCCUCGCCGCUUUUGUCGCCAAUUGUUUCCUUGGAGCUUUACCUCCGGUUGAUUUCCUAGCUGUCUGCUUGGUACGAGCCAUUUCGAAAAUUGUGAUUAGAAACUGUUUGAUUUUUGAGAGAAAGUUGAGAUCUGAUUUGUGAUUUUGAUUAGGCUGAGGAAGGGGAUAUUUAUCGUCUGGGAAUUACACAAGAAGCGGGAAAAAGUUUUCGCGUUUCUUCAUUUAGCGGGACUGAAUCUGAAUCGUUCAUCUGUGUUUAAUCGACGGAUAUAAGAGGUUUAUAUCACGAUCCGUGUGAAAACAUAACUGACGUCGAUAAGUUUAUAUCUACGGUUAGAUUUCAUUCUUUUCUGUUACUGAUCCGCGUGAAGAUGUGUAGACCAAUAGCAUAGCAAUAAAGAAAGAAUUAAAAACAAUUUUAUCUUUACCAAAAACAUACACCAAGGCCCAUUACCUAAUUUGGCCUGCGUAAUCUUUUUUUCUUUUUCUCAACCAUGAGACAUGAGUGAUGAUGGAUGGUAACCAGAUACAUGGAAUUUGGAUAUCUUUUUGUUGUACAAAAAUUAUAACUUCAUCUUCUGAGAUUGAAUAAAAAUAUUGCUUCCCAAGGAUGAACAAAAAGUAUUCGUUAUAAUUUUUGUUUUAUCCACAUAUCUAAGCUAAUGCAUUCCUAGUAUUUAGUCAACUAGCGGGAAAUUGGGUUAUAGACGUGUCGGUCUGUAUUGGCUGACAUGAAGAUAACGGGUUUCUCAAAAGAGUGGAGCAGUGAAUUAAUAUACUAGUGUAGACUGAAACAAGACUAGAGAAAGAGAUGCAACUGCAAAACUUCUUCAUGUUCAAGUCUAAAAGGAGCAUCCGACAGUCAUUGUAUCCCCAUUUUAAUUUUGCUAAAACUUGAUUCUAUCUCUCCGACAAACUACUACAUGCUAAAAUACUUCAAAAGAAAGGAUUAAACAAUAAAGACUCUGAAAACUUUGGUCUUCAAACCUUGAACGUCAAUACCCUACAGCUCAUCCUGCAAAACCAAUUAGAAGAACAAAAUUAAGGAUGGUAAAAUAUUAAUGUGACAUUAUGGUAACAUACAUGAGCGGUAGCGUCUUUCUCAGCAGUUUCCUCGCUAACUUCUGAUUUGCUCUCCUCAGCCUUAGAUUCAGAAUCUGAUUCAUCUCCAUCAUCAUCCUCUGGUUCCUCUUCAGCCUGGAAAAUAGGUUACAGAUAUAAUAUUAGGACCUUGACAGAAACAUAGAAGACUCUGAAUCUUUUAUCAAUCACACGUGCUUACAUCAGAAUCUGCAGGUGCGUCCUUGGAUUCCUGUAUCAGCACAGAAAAAGAGGAUGUCGUCUCAGAUUAUUUUUUCACUAAGUCAAAUAAUUUUGUUCGUCCAAACUACUUGUUUUGAUAGCUAAUUAGGGGAGAUAAUUGGUUGACAAAGAAUUACCUCUUCCUCAUUCUUCUUCUCAGCCUCAUCAAAAGCUGCUUUUUCUGCCUGCAAUGUGAUAUUAGAUUGAAUAUUCUGAUCAGUAACCAGAAACAAAGAGUUGUGUUAAUGGAGAUGUGUAUACUAAACACGUACAUCCUUGAGCUUUCCCCAUGUUUCAUCUGCCAACUUCUUGGCGUAGUCUGGGUCAUCGCAGAUCAAGACAUUAUCAAACAGCGAUCCUGAUUUCACCUGAAAGAGUGAUAAUUAUUUUAGAUGGGAUUCAUAUGGCCAAGCAGAUCUUGGAAGGCAAGAGGUCAUAUAAUGACAAGAUCUAUCACCUGCCACAAUUCGAGUCCAACAUACUUCAGCUUGGGGAAGACAUAGAGCUCUGGGUCAUCCUUGAAGUCUGCGUGAAUCAGUUUAAAUUAGGCACAGUAGUUGUUGGAUAUUAUGUCUUGGAGAGCUAAUUUUAAUGCACGUUUAUGUAAACAAGAAAAACAUACGAACAAGGAAGAAAAGUGUAGAUUAAGGUAGCAAAAGAUAAAAAUGACUAAAUGUGUCAAAUUGGUGGUGACCUUGGGUUAAAGGAUAGAGAAGACAAAAAAAAUCAGAUUGGUUACAAACAUGUUUCUAUUAAAAUAGGUAUACCAACUGGGUUUUAAACACACAGACACCCUUAACCAUUUGAAAGCAAGACAUUACUUCAGCAUUAGAAAUAUAAACUGCAAGAGAUUUCCAGACAUACCAGAAACCAUCAAACAAUAAUGAACAGAAGUAGAACCACAAAUUACAUGUAUAUAAUGCAACAAUAAAAAUAUGGACAAAGGAAAAUAGAAAGGCACAGACAGUAGUAACUUACCAGGGUUGUCAAUCACUGGAGCCUUCCACUUGCCCUUGUAGUUGGGGUUCUUGAUUUGCUACAGAUAUAAAUGACAACCUUGAGAGACGAAAAAAGUUGACCAGGUUAUGUAUACUUUUUGAGAGCGAGAUUGACAAACCUUAGGCUUCCAUUCACCCAUGUACUCAGGAUUGGGGAUGGUCGGGGCAGUCCACUCACCAUCUUCUUCAUCAUCCCAGUCCUCAGGCUAAGAGAAAAGACAUAAAGAAAAAUCAGCAAAUUUGGAACACAGCAACAGAUUUUAUAUUUUCCAUCAAUAAAAGAUAAGGUAGGAACCUUCUUUGAGUCGGUGUCUGGGAUCUCCUUUGGGAUAUCAUCGUACCCGUCAGGUUUCUUGUCUUCAGGGUCAGCAAUGUAUUCUUGGUCGUCCCAAUCCUCAGGCUGUAAAAAAAAACGGAUCAAUUUGUUAUGGUAUCACAGGUAUAGUCAACAAAUUCGAGCAGAGACUCGUAUUUUCAUGAGCUUUAGUCUGGUUGGUUCUAGUUCGCUCUAUAAGUGAUGUAUAAGUGGUUGGUUCUUAGUUUAGUCUAGUUGUUCAUAAGUUACUGAAUACCUUCUUGGCGCUGGGGUCCUUGAUCUUCUUGGGUGGGAGAAGAUCCCAGUCAGAGUAAAGGCUACCCGUUUGCUUCUCAACAUUGUCGAUGAGAAUGCUGUAAGUUGCAUCUGGGCGGAGGAUGAAGGUGUACACAUGGGUAAGCUGAUCAGUUUCACAUGGAACAUCCUUCUUGAUCAGGUGGUUGGCUUCAUUGUAGGUAAGGAUAGCAUGCACUUUCUUUGUGCUGUAGCCACAGAUAUCGGGACCAAACAUGAUACUGCGUGUAAACCAGAUGGGUGUUAUUUUUAAAUAUUGAUGUCAAUUGAUAAUGCUGAGAUUAUUAGAGUAAGAUGAGAUAAGAAAUGUACCUGUAUGGGGUGUCUCCACCAAAUUUCUUCUGGUCAACAUCACCACUGAGCAGCUUCAUGUAGCCACCACCACAGUCAAGCUUUUGCUCGUGCUUGACUGAGAACUGGAAGACUAAGGUUUUGUCCUUGUUACUGAAUUCAGGGAACUCAGCUGAAAUGGCGUAGAAUCUGUAGUCCUCACUAGUCUGGAUACCUGCAAGAAAAUGGUAAUUGCAAUCAACGCAUUAGUAAAAACUUGGAAUAUGCCUGGAAACAAUAAAUCAUGAGUCUGUAACUAGCUCUGAAGGCUGAAACAUACCUUUAUCGUUAGAGUCACCAGACCAAUUUCCAGCAGUGUGUUUCCACUCCCCAGCAGUGUUAUCAUCCUUCUUCCACUCAGAUUUAACCCAUCUGCUUUCCCAUCCAUCUUUAGAAAUGGAAAUAACGAAGAUAACAAAUCAAGACAGACACCAGACAAGAAGAAUCACAGGUUCAUAUAUCAAGUCCAGAACUACAAUACGUAAUCAAUCAAACACAAGAUAAACGAAUUCUUCAAACCAGAUAUUGGUUAGAGUAAAAAUUCCUUGGUGUUGCAAGUCAGAAAAGUGGACUUAACAAACUCAUGAACGCUUCAUUGAACAAAAUUUCUCCCACAUAAGACCGCAAAUUUACUGUUAUAUCAAAGAAGAAAACUGACAAUGAUUUAGAGUGAAACUAGUAUACUAGUGUCGAACCCGCAAGGAAUCAUAACUUAAUUAUCAUCUCAGAAUUCAUCAUCGCUAAAACCAUUUUCACGAAAAGAUGGCGGCCAUUUCCAGGAUCUCCAAUUAGAAUUUCGAAUUCAUAAACCCCAUACAAAACAAAAUCAACAAAUCCAUAGAUCAACAACCAUCCUGAUCAAACAUUUGAAAAUGAUCUAUCUGAUGAAAACGAGGAUACAUAGGUAGCAUGAUCGAAAAUGGAUCUUAAACUCGUAGCAAAAAUCCCAUUAAAACUCAAAUUGACGUAAACAUCACAAUUCAAAACACAAACAAACGCAUCCAUUGGAACCUAGAGUAUAGAGAUAGAGAUGUAGAGAGAAUAGAUACCAUCGAAGCGCUCUUCGAAGAUAACUGCCGCGGAGGCGACGACGAGACCGAUAAGAAUCAGAGAGACGAGGCUAGUGAUUAAUUUCGCCAUUGCUAAAAACUCAGAUCGGAGCUUCUCCGAGAUCGAUCAGAAGAUGAUGUACAAGACCUGGAGUUUAUAUAGCACGAGGUGCUGCAAGUGAGCUUUUGCACUCAUGGAUUUUAGCCUUUUGCUACGUCGUAUAAAUCUGCAGCCACGUAAUCCAAUCAGUAACCGACACGUCAGGUACAUUUGUCACUAGGAAUGACAUGGCGUUAUGGUAUUGGGUGAAACGGGAGAAAGAUUGACACCUGUCAAAUCUUCAGCUUAAGACUGGGCCUUGGCCGUUGGAUUCCAACUGAUUCUUCUUAAUUUAUUAAACUCUAAUUGCGUGGGCCGAGGCAUUUAUGUGUGUAUUUUGGGCCGAUAAUAUUUAUAUUUGUGUUGAUGGUUUUUCCUUUUUCGUGUGUAAAAGCGACUCAAAAUCUGAUUUCAAUUUAAACGCAUAUAAGGAAACUUUAUGCCAUCUUUUUUUUUUUUUUUUUUUUUUUGGUUUAAACUUUAUGCCAUCUUGCAUGUUCUUGUUGUUACUCAUUGAUCCAUUUAGUCUCACGAUUUUAGAUUCUUGAUCUCUUUGUAUGAUUUAAGGCAUUUUUGUUACUGUAAUCGCAAUGAAAGAAUCAGCUAAUAUGAAAUUUCUGUUCAGCAGCCAACUGAUGUGAAGACAUUAGAGAGAUUCCAAAACUUUGGGAAUUUAUGAUCAAAACUCAUUGAAGAUUGGAUUCUUGAUUACAAGGAUACUUAUAUGGUCCGCUUUGUUAGUUGUUAAUGUCAAAAAGUUUAUGGACUUGAUGGUCUGCGUUGAUUUAAUGACAAUGGACAUAACGGAAUUUUCAAAGGGUGGUGCAGUAAGUAAUACACCACAAUCUGAUUUUUGGCGGACUUUGGCUUAACGGAGAACCAGUAGUAGAGAAAGAGACGCAACAGCAAAAAUUCUCCAUGAUGUUUUUUUCAGUCUAAAAUAAGCAUCUGACGUUCAUUGCAUCCCUCUUUUAAUUCUGCUAAAAAUUGUUUCUAUCUCCGACAAACUAGAUGCUAAAGUACUUCAAAACAAAGGAUAAAACAAUAAAGACUCGAAACUUUGGUCUUCAAUCUUCAAACUCCUUCACUUACAGCUCAUCCUGCAAAACCAAAUCAUACAAUGUAACCAACUAAGUUCAAACGAGAAGAUUAUGGAUGAGUGCAAAUAUUUAAAGUGACAUUAUUAUAAACAUACAUGAGCGGUGGCGUCUUUCUCGGCAGUUUCCUCGCUAACUUCUGAUUUGCUCUCCUCAUCUGUCUUAGAUUCGGAAUCGGAGUCAUCUCCUUCAUCAUCCUCUGGUUCCUCUUCAGCCUGGAAAAUAAAUCACAUACAGUAUUAGGACCUUGACAGAAGCAAAGAAGAAUCUUAAAUCUUGAUCAAUCACAAGUGCUUACAUCAGAUUCCGCAGGUGCGUCCUUGGAUUCCUGUAUAAUGACAGAAGAAAAAAAGAUGUCGUCUCAGAUUCAAAAGGAUUUCACUUCCUAUUUUAGAGAAUAUCAUGAACUGUGAUCGCUAAUUAGGAGAGAUGUUUGGUUGAAGAGUGUUACCUCUUCCUCCUUCUUCUUCUCAGCCUCAUCGAAAGCUGCUUUCUCCGCCUGCAAUGUGAUAUUAGAUUAGAUAUUCUGAUCAGUAACCAGAAACAAAGAGUUUUGUUAAUGGAGAUGUGCAUACUAAACACAUACAUCCUUGAGCUUUCCCCAUGUUUCCUCUGCCAACUUCUUGGCAUAGUCUGGGUCAUCGCAGAUCAAGACAUUGUCAAACAGAGAUCCUGAUUUCACCUGAAAGAGUGGUAAUUAUUUUAGAUAGGAGUCAUGUGGCCAAAGCAGAUCUUGGAAGACAAGAGGUCAUAUAGUGACAAGAUCUAUUACCUGCCACAAUUCGAGUCCAACAUACUUCAGCUUGGGGAAGACAUAGAGCUCUGGGUCAUCCUUGAAGUCUGCGUGAAUCAGUUUAAAUUAGGCACAGUAAUUGUUGAAAGAAAACAAAAACAGUAUGUUUAGUAUUACAGUCAAAUCCAUAUGACCAUGAUAUAAAAGUGUAAAUCAUCGUGAACAAAAGAUAUGGGUUUCUAUUUUAAUAGGUUAACCACUAAACACAGAAACACUUUCAACCUUUUUGAAGUAAGGUAUUUCUUAAACAUUUGAGUUUAUAGGAACCCUUAGAUAGCCAUCUACUUAAGUCAAAAGAAAAAAAAAUCUAAAUUGGAAGAGAUUUCUAGGCAAACUAGAAGCCAUCAAACAACAACAAACAGAAAUAGAAACACAAACUACAUGUAUGUUAUGCAACAUGAAAAAAUAUGGCCACAGAGCGUAGUAAUUUACCAGGGUUAUCAAUCAAUGGAGCCUUCCACUUGCCCUUGUAGUUGGGGUUCUUGAUUUGCUACAGAAAUUUAUGAUAACCUUGAGAUGAAGAUAACCGUUGACAAGGAUUUAGAUACUUUUUGAGAGCGAGAUUGACAAACCUUAGGCUUCCAUUCACCAUUGUACUCAGGGUUGGGGAUGGUUGGGGCAGUCCACUCACCAUCUUCUUCAUCAUCCCAGUCCUCAGGCUAAGAGAAAAGACAUAAAGAAAAAUCAGCAAAUAUGGAACACAGCGAGAGAUUUUAGAUUUUCCAUCAAUUAAAGAAAAGGUAGGAACCUUCUUAGCGUCGGUGUCUGGGAUCUCCUUUGGGAUAUCAUCGUAUCCGUCAGGUUUCUUGUCUUCAGGGUCAGCAAUGUAUUCUUGGUCGUCCCAGUCCUCAGGCUGUUUAUAAAAAAGGGAUCAAUAUGUAUGAUGGAUGGUAUCACAGGAAUAAUCAACCAAUUCGAUCAGAGACUCAUAUUUUCCUGAGCUUUAGUCUGGUUGGUUCUAGUUCGCUCUAUAAGUGAUGUAUAAGUGGUUGGUUCUUAGUUUAGUCUGGUUGUUCAUAAGUUACUGAAUACCUUCUUGGCGCUGGGGUCCUUGAUCUUCUUGGGUGGGAGAAGAUCCCAGUCAGAGUAAAGGCUACCCGUUUGCUUCUCAACAUUGUCGAUGAGAAUGCUGUAAGUUGCAUCUGGGCGGAGGAUGAAGGUGUACACAUGGGUAAGCUGAUCAGUUUCACAUGGAACAUCCUUCUUGAUCAGGUGGUUGGCUUCAUUGUAGGUAAGGAUAGCAUGCACUUUCUUUGUGCUGUAGCCACAGAUAUCGGGACCAAACAUGAUACUGCGUGUAAAACCAGACGGGUGUUAUUUUAAAAUAUUAAUGUCAAUCAAUAACGCUGAGAUGAUAAGAGUGAGAUGACAUAGGAAAUGUACCUGUAUGGGGUGUCUCCACCAAAUUUCUUCUGGUCAACAUCACCACUGAGCAGCUUCAUGUAGCCACCACCACAGUCAAGCUUUUGCUCGUGCUUGACUGAGAAUUGGAAGACUAAGGUUUUGUCCUUGUUACUGAAUUCAGGGAACUCAGCUGAAAUGGCGUAGAAUCUGUAGUCCUCACUGGUCUGGAUACCUGCAAGGCAAUGGUAAUUGCAAACAACGCAUUAGUAAAAAACUAGGAAUAUGCCACAAUAAAUCAUGAUUCUAUGACUAGCUUUUUUUAAUUUUUGGACAGAGUCUAUGACUAGCUCUGAAGGCUAAAUCAUACCUUUAUCGUUAGAGUCACCAGACCAAUUUCCCGCAGUGUGUUUCCACUCUCCAGCAGUGUUAUCAUCCUUCUUCCACUCAGAUUUAACCCAUCUGCUUUCCCAUCCAUCUUUAGAAAUGGAAACAACAAAGGUAACAAACCAAGACAGACAUCAGACAAGAUGAAUCACUAUUUUAUAAAUCAAGUCCAGAAGAAUAAGAGGGAAUCCAACGCAAGAGACACGUUCAAACUAGAUAUUAGUAAGAGUAAAUAUUCUUUACUAUUUCAAAUGAGAAAAAAUCGACUAAACAAACUCAUGAGUGUGCUUCAUUGAACAAAGGAUCCUACCUAAGACCGCAAAUGAUACGACCAUUCCCCUGAUGCCUAAGACUAACAAUGAUUUCAUCUAUGGAUUCAAUUGAAACUACCAUCUCAGCGUUUAUCACAGUUAAAUUAUUGCUCUAGUGAUCUCCGAAACAUCUCGACGAAGAGUAUUCUUCACCAAAAGCCGGCGACGAUUUCCUAGGAUCUACAAUUAUAAUUUCGAAUUCAUAAACCCAAUAAACAACAAAAUCAACAAUUCAAAGAUCCACAAUAAUCCUGGUCCAACAUUUGAAAAUGAUCUAUCCGAUGCAUGAUCGAAAGCAGAUCUUUAAACUCGCAGCAUUAUCACAUUAAAACUCAAAUGAAUUAAGAGAUCCGGAGCUAAACAGAAACAAACGCAUCACCAGGAACCUAAAGGUGUAGAGAUAGAGAUGUAGAAAGUGAAUACCAUCAAAGCGCUCCUCGAAGAUAACAGCCGCGGAGGCGAUCGCGACGAGACCGAUAAGAAUCAGAGAGACGAUGCUAGUGACUAAUUUCGCCAUUGCUAAAAACUCAGAUCGGAGCUUCCCCGAGAUCAGAUGAUGAUGAAGUGUAAGAUCUCGAGUUUAUAUAUACCGGCGAGGAGCUUGCAAGUGAGCUUUGCUCUCAUGGAAUUUAUUUUAGCCUUUUUUGCUACGUCGUGUAAAUCUGCAGCCCGUAAUCCAAUCAGUAACUGACACGUCAGAUACAUUUGUCAUUAGGUAUGACAUGGCGUUAUGGUAUUGGAUGAAACGGCGACACAAGGGCUUGGAAUAAUAAACCUUAAUCCAAAGAUUUAACACGUGGAAAGAUAUUAGCGGUUGGUGCGGUGAUAUUAACAAAAAAGAAGUGUGCUUCUCGUGGAGAGAGUAUAGUAAACAAAAGAAGCAGAUCUCUCGGGAGUUUUUCGUAAAAACAUCACUUGGUUUGUUGGAUUUAACGUGAUCUCAGCCGUUGGAUUCCAACUGAUUUUUCCAAUCUAGAAAUUUCUAAAAGCGUGGGCCGAGGAACAUUGAUAUCUGUAUAUGUUGGGCCGAUAACUUUUAUAUUUUGCGUUGAUGGUUUUUUCGUGUGAAGAUUAGCGUAAAAGCUACUCAAAAUCUUCUGACUUGGAUUGUUAUUUGAUGAUGACACCCAUUGAAGCAAACUUUUGAAAUUGGUCUUGAAUAAGUUUGCGUGUUGCUUCACGUUUUCUAUAUAAUCCAAGCUGAAACCCAUUCAGAACAGAAAAAAAAACUUUGGGAGUUUAUGAUCAAAAACAUUGAAGAUCGAAGUCUAUGUUAAUUCUAAAUGUCAAGUAUUGUUGGUUAUAUAUAAUGUUCGAAAGCACUUAUCAAACCAAGCAACUCCAUCCCAUUAGAUUUGCACUUUCAUUUGCAAGCAACCCCAUCCCAUUGAAUUCAACUUCUUCGCUCUUUAGUCAACCAUCAACAUCUACAAUUACUGAAACCGAAAAUCUUAGCUAAUGCUGUUGUCGUUGUUUAUGAUCAAAACAUUGAAGAUCAGAAUAGAGCUGCCAAAACUUUGAUCAGAACAGAGCUCCCAAAACUUUGGGAGUUUAUGAUCAAAACAUUGAAGAUUGGAGUACAAGGAUUAUUACAUGCUAUGUUACUUGUGAAUGUCCUGGAAGUUUAGCUACUCCUCUAACAUCCAUCAGUUUCCGAAAUCUCUGGGCAUCUGAAAAUCUUCCAUUACCACAGAAGAUGUUGGACAUAAGCACAUAGUCUCCUCCAUGGCUUCUCUCCAAUUCCAUUAGCUUCCUAGUAACCCUCUCAGCCAUUUCAGCAUCAUCAUAUACAUUACAAGCUCCAAGCAGCAUUCUCCAAACCACGGCCUUUUGAUCUAUUGGAAUCUCCAAAGCAAUUUUCUCUGCUUCUUCUAGUCUUCCUUUUCUUCUCAGCAUAUCUACUAGACAUCCAUAGUGCUUCACAUCCGGUGUGAUCUUGUACUUGUUUACCAUCUUGUUGAAAAACUUUAGAAACUCUUCUUCUGCUAAACCUCCAUGGCUACAAGCGUUCAAAACACUGAUCAUAGUUACUCUGUUGGGCUUCAAUCCUAAUCUUUCCAUGUCUUUGAACAUAUUGACCGCUUCUUUGCCCAUUCCGUGCAUUGCAAACGCUGAGAUCAUCGUUGUCCACGAUACAAGAUUCUUCCUUCCGUUUGGAAUCUCGAUGAAAAACUUGAACGCGCUUUGAAUACACCCACAUUUUGCAUAAGCGUCGAUGAGAGAGUUAGUCACACGGAUAUCACAUGGAACAAACCCUCUUUUCCCAACAUAAGCAUGAACUGAUCCGCACAUCUUUAGGUCUCCCAAGUUCCAAACAGCUGGGAGAAUGGCGAGAAUGGUUAUCUCGUUCGGCUUUAUUGCAUCGCAAGCAACCAUUCUUGAAAACAGAAGUGUAGCUUCCUUGGGUUUAUUAACUCGUGCAUACCCAUCAAUGAUAGUGGUCCAAGACACUACCGUCCGAUUCAGCAUCUUCUCCAAAAAGCAAAGAGCUUUUUCAAAAUCUCCCAAAUUAGUCAGGCCAGUGAUCAUCACAUUCCAUGUUACCGGAUUUCUCUCAGGCAUUUCAUCAAACACUUUGUAAGCAUCAAUCAUGUUUCCACCAACAAGAUACAUACCAACCAAAGCUGUCUGCACGUAGACAUGAAAUUCGAAACCCAGUUUUAGAGUCAACCCAUGGAGUCCAAUUCCCAGUAGUAAAGAUGGGAACCGCGGAUUCGAACUCGCUUUCAGGAGAAAGAGGUAAGUGAAACUAUCAAAAGGAGGCAACAGUCUCUUGCUGUGAUCAGACAAGAAAUGGAGUCGUUGGAGUUGGUCGUAGAGAAAGUAAGCCCGAAGAGGCGUUUCGCCAAGUGAAUAGCAUCGAAGCAGAGCAUUGAAUAGCAAAAGUUUCCCAGAAUUUUGCUUCUGAUGAAGGAGAAGAAGCCCAGAAGUAGUGAAGUGGGAAUGGAGCUGGUGGAUGAUUCUAGGGUUUGAUUCAUAUUUUUGCAGAAGAGAAUGAAGGUGUUGAAUCGAGAAGAUGUUACCACCAGAAACCAAAGUCGAAUAAGAACAAGAAUGCUUGAUUAUGGUGUAAGAGCGUAGAGCGCUGGUUCUACGUGAAGAAAACAAGAACAUAAUUGUUUGAACACAAAUCUAGCAAGAAAUUAUUAACUGCUCGUUAAUAUUAGGCAGCGAUAUUUUAUUGACUUUAAUCUGCGAGUCAAGAGUUACACAAUGAUGAUGAUGAUACACAAAAAGAAUUUGCAGAUAAUCCUCAAAAACCUUUAAUGUUAUAUAUAUCAUCAUCAUUCGUUUGGCUUGGCUGCUCCAGGAUUCCUGCCAAACUGGAUUAUCAUUGGUUUUCCUUUGAACACAAAACCAUUUACAAGAUUCUGCAAAAUCACAAUGAACACAUCAGUCACACUUUUGUCUUGUCUUCAGGCACAAAAUGAAUGCUUGUCAAUGAUAUUUUAUUCUUCACAGUAUUCAGGCAUUUAUGCAGAACAAGAAGGUGUUGUUAAGGAUGAUUACCAGAGCACGAUGUGCGACUUCAACUGAUGGAAAUGUCAAAAAGGCUUGCCCUCUCAUCCUUCCUUCCUGUAGUAUUAUUUGAUUCACACAUCCAAUCAUAGUCAUAAACAAAAAGAUUGAUAAUAAUUAAAGGGAAAUUUAAGGUUACAGAUGCAACACCUGCAUUAGCCUCACACCAAGACUUGUUUUGGCUGCUUCUAUGCUUUCAAAUUGCGACCCUACAUGAAUGCUACUAUUUAGCAAUGAACUGAUUUCUCAAAAAGCAAGGUGUAGUAAGCAGGUAAAGACUUGUAAAUUAACGACUCUAGAUUGUAAAAGAUUUUGAUUUGACUUGCAGAGCUACUUCUUACCAAAUAUGUAAUAGAAAUCAUCAAUAACAACGUCUUUGGCAAGGUUUUUGAUAUACAGCACAAGCGACGGAUUCCCAGCUGUGUAGUUCUGCACACAAUAAAAACAAAAAAAGCAUUUUCUCUCAGUGAAUAUUUUUUCAGAGAUGACACUCUACAUUUGGAAUUAGAACAUGAAGUAGGAAAACAGUCAUGAAAGAGCUGCAUUACUAGCAGUAAAUAUCUUUUCAUGCAAAGAGAGAAUCGCUAGUAACAAGCCAUGUUCUAAAAAUCGGCCGCCUAGCCGCCUAGGCGGUCGCCUAGGCGCUAAUCGGAGGAGCACCGCGGCGAUUUUGUCCAAAUCGGUGAGAAAAAUCGGAGAUCCGAUUUUUUGCCCGCCUGGACCGCCUAGGCGGCCGCCUAGCCCAAUUUUUUUUUUUUUUUUUUUUUUUUUUUUUUUUCAUCUAAAAUUCAAAACGUCCUACUUAUGUUCGUAAUUUGUAUAAAAAUCAUAAAUUUGAAAUUAAAAUCUUGUUUUCAUGUGUUUAAUACAAUUUUAAAAACAAUAUUAUAUAAAUUACUUAAUUAUAAUGGAUUAAUAUGUUUUUAAAAUAUUAAAUAGCCCUAAAACUAAUCCCCGAUUAAUCCCCGUGUAAUCCCCGAUUUUCUUGCUAGGCGCUAGGCGCACCCUCACCGCCCGACUAGCGCCUAGCGAUUUUUUGAACACGGGUAACAAGUAUGCAUAGCCAGAGCCAAAGUACAUUUUGCAUACCCAAAGCAAAGGCUGGAAUUGAUAAUUAGGCUCACAUAAUUCAUUAGAAACGUUCUACUCAAUACAAACAUAUUAUGUAACUUAAUCCUAGUAUCCAUACCUUGAACAUAGGGAGUGAAAGAAUUUCUUGUGGAGGUAACCUUCCUUUCUCCAACUCCUCUAAACUCGCAAAGGGUUUCAAAUUUGAAUCUUCUUCUUUGGGCUCGUCUGCAGGGUCUUCAUUCUCACUUUCCUCUUUAUAUUCGUCUUGAGGAGCUUUUGGGAUAAUCUUGAUCUACCAGCAUAGACUUACAAAUAUCAGCACAACUACACAGCAUAUUAUCUUUGAAAGGUAAGUAUGGAUAAUAGGAUACCUGCAUAACAUGUUUAUUCUUUCUUAUUCGAGGGAUCUCUUUUGGGGUCAAAGACGAAGGUUUCACUCCAACAGUUUCAUUGUCCAUACCAGGACCAACAAGAGUUUCAUGUCUAGCACGCUUCCUUCCUGAUUUUGCUGUACCUGUAUCCUAAACGUAAUACCAUCACAAUUCUUACCCAAGUACUCAGUACUAAUGAAUAUAAAGAGUAGAGAAAAUACGAAUAAAUUCUAUGCCUCGAUUAUCACAUAAGUUUACUAAAAAAAAAAAAAGAAGAGAACAAAGCAAGAUGACAACUAUGAUAUGUAAAUCUAAGCAACCAUCAGGAGCUUAGCAUGAAGCCAUUUUAGUAAUAUCAUAAAAUGCAGAGAAUGGCAUGACGAGUCAUACCUCAUCAGAUUCCAUCUCUGACUCGCUACUAGAUUGAUGCUCCAACUCAGUUGGUUGGGGGCCUCCUUUAGGUAGAGGUGGUGUGGGCAGGGCCAGGCGAAAAGGAGGUGGAAGGUUCAUUUUGUUCAUCAGAUGUAGCACCUACGAUCAAAAGGUCUAAAAUUACAUUUCUAGUUUUUUCUGCGCUCCAUGAAAGUUGAUUUCUGCAGAUUACAAAUGAAAAGACACCUCUAUCCACCGGUCAUAAACAGUGACAGUAGAGCUAACCUGGGUGUAUAACGGUGGGACAGCGAUAAGGGCAUUAGUAAUGUUGGCUAAUAUAUUUGCAUCGGGUGGCGGGUAAGCGUAUCUGCAAAAUGAACCCGAACAAACAUAGAAACACCUGAAGUCGACAAAAUGUUUAAAGAAUCGUGUUGUGUUGUCACAUUGUGUUUUAGAAGGAUGAGGAGAUAAACAUACAGACACAUACCUAAUGUUUUUUGAAUAAGUGAUAAGAAAUGGAACAAAUUUUUUAAAAAAGUAUGAGCAGUAAAACUUACUGCAGGUGAGGAGGAAAUGGAUAGUUAAUGCCGAGUUUUGGAGCUAUCGGUUCGCCAGAAAGCAUCUGCCCAGAUUUUGAAUCAUUGUUGGUGCUAACUGUAGAGAAAGGAUUCCCCUUGGUCACAGAUUCUUCGAUUUGUCGAGACUUCUUGUUCUCGUUAGGUUUAUUGGCUCUCUGUACUUGUAGAACCUUGCCAAGAAACCUUAGCCUACACAACCAUCAAACCAUAAAACAGCUCAAUAAUUGGCUUCAUUGUCAAGAAACAAAAAGAGUCUGAGAAGAUUAAUUCCAGCAUAUUAAUUGAAGAUGAGUAAAUCCGAAACCGGUACCCAUUUAACUGACGAUGUGCUUGAGAAGCAAAAGCUUCAUUCUUGAAAUCCACAAAAGCAGCGUUUCUCAAUCUGUGGCAAAUAUUAUCUGUCAAGUUAGAUAAUUACACAUUAUUCAAUCUCUUCUUCACACCUUGUACCCUAAACAUUACAAGAAAUAUACCCUUCAAAAGCCUUAUGAACAAAAACUAACUACGAAUUUUCAGUGUCCAAUGUCUUCUACAGAAAUCUAGAACCUUCUAAUUCAUAUGAAUUUCCAAGUAAAUAGAAAGGAAAAGGUUGCUGGAAAUAUACUUUCCACCGGAGCAAGGACGAACAGCAGAAGCUCCGUACUGAGAAAAGAGCCGAGAGACGAUAUCAUGAGGAAUUCCAUCAGGAAGAUGCCGAACCAAAAGAGUUACCCCAAAAGGCUCUGUAACCUGAGAUUCAAAUUGCGUCGCCGGGAGAUUCACGGCCGGCUCCGAUGUCGCAUGUGCAGCCAUUAGAGCUCGAAAACCCAAACUCAGAACGAUGACAGGUUCUUUUCAAUAAAAUUGAAUUGUGCGAUUAAACCGGACUAGAUUUUGGAGUCAGUCAUCGAACCAGACAAACCAACAGGGAGAAUUGAAUCAAACCGGGACGACGUUUUGUUUUAAAGUUUAUGGGCUUUUCCACACAUGUGGCCCAUUAAAAUGUUUUUUUUUUUUUCCUCAGAUUAAAAUGUUUUUUACUAUUAACAGACCUGUCUCUUUUGCUUUAGCAACAAUUUUUUAUAAAUCUUGAGAAAAUAUAUUAUUAUUUUGUGGUGAUAAAUACAUUUAACAAUACAAAAAAAAACAUCAAUAAAUAGAUGUUAAUGUAGCCUGAGGAAAUAAAUUUAUUUUGAAAAAAGAAGAAGAAUAAACUGUGAGAUGGACAAUGCAAUUCAAUAAGAAGAUAGAUCUAGUUGAUAGUGAAGUGAACAUGACUAUAACAUGUUACUUGACCAAGUAUACUUUCUUUCAUCCGUUUCUAAACAUUAACAUUGACAAUUUUUUGUAAGUUUUCGUACAAUUAUCAAACUGAAACUUCAAUUUUUGGAAAUAUUAAGAAUAUGUCCAUUUCACUGGAAGAUAAUAUCUUUUUUAGCGUGUGUCUUCCACACACUUUUUAUGGCUCUCCUUAUUUUCUUGUCUUACUCAUGAAAUUUCGUAAGUUCUUCACGCAAUCAUUAAUUCAUAUAGAAAGAAAAAUAAGAAAAACAAAUCUCAUUCUUAGCAUUUCUAUAAAAAUAAUAAAUAUAGAAUCCAUUGACAACCACAUAAAAAAAACAUAUGCUAUAAAAAUUAAUGUUGAAAUUGAAAAAGAGAGAAACAAAAUAAAUGUAAAUAGUUGUAUGAAUUUUGUUGGCAUAUAUAAUUAAUCAAGUUGGCCGUGGAGUUAAUACAAGAGGCAAGAAUGCAUAGAUCGAAUAUGUUUUCUUUUUUCUUUUUUUCCGAAUAUGUUUUUUUGCAUAAGAAAUAAAUAUGAUUCGUCAUUUACAUAAAAGAAUAUCGAUCUUUUCAAGUUGGUGUGUGUCUUUAAGUACCUCUUAUAUAAUCCUUUAUAUUCGUCUCGUAUACGUGUUUUUUUGUCAACGUCUUCCAUAUUUAUGCCACUCUCCUAGAAUUCCUAAAAGCUAUACUGGGAUAAUAAGUUAUUUAUUGAUUAUACUUUCUAGAUAAGAAAUAUGAUUUGCGUGAAGAAUUUGAGAAAUUCAUGAAGCAUAUCAAAAGAAAACAAGGAGAGCCGUAAGAAAUUUUGUGGAAGGCACACGCCACGAAGAUUAUCUUCUUCUUGAAUUCGCAUAUUCUUUUCAAAAAAAUAUUGAAAACUCAGUUUGAUAUUUGUAGGAAGUCUUACAAUUUAAUUCCAAAGUUGAUGUUUGGAAACAGACAAGGGACGUUGUUUUUGGUCAAGCAACUUGUUAUAUAGGCUAGUAGUUACUCCAUGUAUUUUUUUUUGUUUUAAAGUUAGUUAUUUACACUUUUUGUUGAAUUGUGUUAAGUUUUUUUUUUUUGAUAAAGUGUGUUGUUGCAAGUCAUGCACAACUUCUUUCUAAAAGCUCUUGGUUAUACUUAUAUAUUUAGAACUGCGCAAUAAUAUAUUAAUGGACUCUUUAUUUCUGUAUAAUUAUGUGUUUACAUCAUAUGCUACGUACAUAAAUGAUAAGGCAUCAAACCUUAUCUCAUUUUUUAUAUGCAGAAGAAUGGAGAUUAUACGUUUCAUAUAAUCCAUCAAUUAGUGUACAUCUUGCUUAGUGUAAUACAAUAUAUCCAAUUUAUAACAUUUUUGGAUCUAAUCCAUGUUCACACAAGUCCUUUGUCAUAAACAGGAUGAUUUUUGAAAAUGAUGUAAAUUUUAUAGCAAUUAGGAAUGAAUUUUCUAAAAUAUAAAUCAUAAACUCUAAACCCUAAACUAAAUACUUAAAUCUAAAUCAGAAAUCAGAAAAACUAAACCAAUACUGUAAACAUUAAACUAUAUAAUAUCUUAGACUUCAAAUAUAUAAAACUUCAAAACGUAAACUAUAAAGGAUCUAUUUUUUUGUUUUUAAAAAGGGAUAUAUUCUUUUAGUUAAACAAAAAAAGAAAAGAAAACGCAUGGUGUUUUAUAUAUUUGAAUAAGGGAAUGUUAAAAUAAUUAGAUUCUUUUUCUAGUUGAUGUAGAUCCCCACCCCACGCCAAUAAAUAUCCAUCUCUCCAGCCCAAACAGUUCACACCACCCGAGAACACACAAUUAUUUUCCAAAGAAACAGAGAAAAACCAAUAACCUCAUAGCUAGUGUCGACAUGGGUUGCCAAGACGAACAAUUGGUGCAAACAAUAUGCGAUCUCUACGAAAAGAUAUCAAAGCUAGAGAGUCUAAAACCAUCCGAAGAUGUCAACAUUCUCUUCAAGCAGCUUGUUUCCACAUGCAUCCCACCAAACCCUAACUUCGACGUCACCAAGAUGUGUGACAAAGUCCAAGAGAUUCGACUUAACCUCAUCAAGAUCUGUGGCAUAGCCGAAGGUCACUUAGAACAUCAUUUCUCUUCGAUCUUGACCUCAUUCCAAGACAACCCACUUCAUCAUUUAAACAUUUUCCCUUAUUACAACAACUAUUUAAAACUCGGAAAGCUCGAAUUCGACCUCCUCACACAAAACUCAAAUGGCUUUGUCCCAAAGAGUGUGGCUUUCAUUGGAUCUGGUCCUCUUCCUCUUACUUCCAUCGUUCUUGCUUCAUUCCAUCUCAAAGACACAAUCUUUCACAACUUUGACAUCGACCCAUCAGCGAACUCACUCGCUUCUCUUCUGGUUUCCUCUGAUCCAGACAUCUCUCAACGCAUGUUCUUCCACACCGUUGAUAUAAUGGACGUGGCAGAGAGCUUGAGGAGCUUCGAUGUCGUGUUUCUAGCUGCUCUUGUUGGAAUGAACAAGGAGGAGAAAGUUAAAGUGAUCGAGCAUCUGCAGAAACACAUGGCUCCUGGUGCUGUGCUCAUGCUUAGGAGUGCUCAUGGUCCGAGAGCGUUUCUUUAUCCGAUCGUUGAGCCGUGUGAUCUUCAAGGGUUCGAGGUUUUGUCUAUUUAUCACCCAACAGAUGAUGUUAUCAACUCUGUGGUGAUCUCUAAAAAGCAUCCUGUUAUUUCAACUGGGAAUGUUGGUGGACCUAAUUCAUGCUUGCUCAAGCUUUGCAACUGUUCCAAGAUCCACGCCAUUAUGAACAAGAACAUGAUGAUCGAGCAGUUCGGAGCUAGGGAAGAACAGUUGUCUUAAAGAGGACGUUUCUUGCCUCUUAAUUCUCUAUCUUAUGGAAGCUUCUAAUUAUGAUUUGUGUCUUUGUGUUGUGUGUGGGUGUCUUUUCUUAAUUGUUCUUUGUUUGUUUAUUUGUCUUUCUAUAUUUCUAGAAAUGGAUUUGCUUCCCGCGACACUGUUGGGCUGAAACAGAACACGAUUUUGUCUCCUGCUCUUAACUUAUUUAAUUAUAAUCAGAUAGAAUACAAAACAUAACAUAUAUAUAUAUAUAUAUAUAUAUAUAUAAUGGAUUCAUAUUUAAUUUCCUAUAUAUAAAUUAUAACCAUAUGUUAUCUAGAAUGUUGACAGAUGAAAAAAUAUCAUUGUCAUCAACAUUACUUAGUUUUAUUCCAUGCAUAUGAUGGAACGUUGGUGGCGGAUGCAUAUUUCUCAUAAGGUAAAUUCCAUCUUUUCUGGCAAACCAAUGACGUAUAGCACCACAUCGACGAACGUUGCCCAUUCUGUACGCUAUAAAUUCUUGAUAAUAUCGCAUGUAUAAGCCGUGUUUCAAAAGACAAGUCCACCUUGUUCUUCUCCCUAACUUGUCUCCGAAACGGAUUUGUUUUAGUUCCUUGAAUUGUAAAUUUUGGACCCCUAGAUUGUUAUCUCUUGAAUGACAAUGGUAUUGGAGAACCAAACCAGGACCAAGCUCGUUCGAAAUUCUAAUUUCGUUACUCGGACAUGGGAACAUGUCAAAUUAAUGCUACAUUCAAUCCAAAACACGUCGCAACAACAAACAAAAAAAUAAUAAAACGAUUCAUUUUUCUAGUAAUAUGAAACUUCGAUUUGAAUCUAAAGACAUCAAUAGUACAGAACUAUAUAUUGUUAUUUGUGUGGUUAGUAUUUUCUUAUGGCCUUAACUAAAAUAAGUAUUUUCAAUAGGUAGUGUCGAAAAGUAUGGUUGACUUGACCUAAUAUUUAGAAACGGGCCAGACCUUAAACAAAUGGGCCACAAUAGCUUUCGGUAAAACCGACCCGUUUCUUUUGUUGUUGUUUCUUUCUUGAGCAAAGGAGGAACUUUGGUUGGAGCAAGAAGAAGAAGCAGAUCGUGAGAUAUUCGAGAUGACUGUAAGUCGGAUCAAUCUUCCAAUUGCUCAUGGAUUUUUAUGACUUUAAUCGUGUUUUUCUCCUUGGCAGUUCAUGAUUCCGAUUGAGAACGGGAAUGGAGUGAAGAACGCUGAGGCUGAUUCCCAAAGAACAUUGUAAAACCUCUCUUAUAUAUAGUGUGUUCUUGAAUCUGAGAAAAAAAAUUGGGUUUUGGUUUUCAUAUUUUUAGUUAAUUUUGGUAGGUACCCGUAUGUUACUGGAACCUCAGUGGUGGCUAUCAAGUACAAAGAUGGGAUUUUAAUGGCUUCUGAUAUGGGAGGUAUGAUGCUCUCUACCUUAGUUUCAGCUCUCUGAUUGAUACUCACUGUUGCUUACUUGGUAGAUAAAGCAAUUUACUCACUGUACCUAUUUCAUUUCAUUAUAAAUGUAUCUUUUUGGUGAGAGGUAUCUGAGGGUUCAAGUUUGGUAGUGAACCUCAUUUCCUCAAGCUUUUGCUGAUCGGCAGGUUCAUAUGGAUCCACCUUAAGGUACAAGAAUAUUGAGAGAAUGAAGGCUAUUGGUAAACAUUCUCUUCUUGGUGCCAGUGGGGAAAUCAGUGACUUUCAAGAGAUUUUGCGUUAUCUUGACGAGCUCAUGUAACAAUGUGUUUGAUACAAUGUUUCUUUUCUUGUCGUUUCCUUGUUAACCGCGUUCCCUCUUUGGCCCUUGAUUUUUUAAACUCUUAUUGUUUUCAGGCUGAAUGAUAACAUGUGGGAUGAUGGUAAUUCCUUGGGACCGAAAGAGGUUCUUAACUAUCUGACCCGAGUUGUGUAUAAUCGCCGGAACAAGUUCAACCCUUUGUGGAACACUCUUGUCGUUGGAGGUGUCAAAUAUGGGGAGAAGUACCUUGGGAUGGUAAUGCCUGUUAAGACUUGUUCGCAGUUGAACUUCUUAGUGAGCGUAAAAGUUUUGAAUUGAAUGCUAUGAUGUUCUUUCUCUAGGUCUCAAUGAUUGGUGUUAGUUUUGAGGACAACCAUGUUGCCACUGGUUUUGGGAAUCACCUAGCGAGGCCUAUUCUUCGUGACGAAUGGCGUGAGGACCUGAGUUUUGAAGAAGGUGUCAAACUACUGGAGAAAUGUAUGCGUGUACUUCUUUACCGUGACAGAUCUGCUAUCAACAAGCUUCAGGUCUGUUUAAUUUCAAUAUUUUAACUCCCAUCUAAUUGAGAGUCAGAUCAUUGACAAGACUUGUUCUCUCUGGGAACUUUGUAGAUAGCAAAGAUGACAGAGGAAGGCGUGACUGUCUCUGAGCCAUACUCGCUUAAGACAUUCUGGGAUUUCAAGGCGUUCACAAACCCAACAGUUGGUGCAGAAGGCUCCUGGUAAUAACUGAAAAACAACCCAACCACUUAGCAAAGACAAGUUACUUCGAUCCAAGAGGAGCUGUUUCCUUUGUGUGAUGUUGUUCGAUAGUGACCGCUGUGUUUUAUGAAUUCCUGAGUAAGAUCUAGUCUUUAACUUCCCCUCCUUGGAUAUUGUGUUCACGAAUGAGCAUGUUUUUGUUCCUUGGAAAUUCCAUAAUCGGCCUGAUGCAUAUAGACAUUUUUUUUGUCAUAUGUGCGUUGUGAAUCUUGUGAUAUCUAGAAUCUAAAAAUACACGCACAAGAAAAGCUUGCGACCACAUAUAUUAUUAAUUCCAGUUUAAAAAACUUGGUGAGUAUUAUUAAAAUUGGUACAUAGAGAGAGUCAGAGAAGAAGUAUUUGAGCGUGGUUAAAAUAUUAAGAAAAGGAAGAGACAUGGAGACGAUGUCUCAAUUAAGGGGGCAAGCCUCUCUGGCCAAUCACAGAGAAAAGGGCCCUUUUAGAUUCUCUUCAAGAUCUUCUUCGUUUUUGUAUUAAUAAACUCACACAUUUACUAUUUAGUGUCAACUCAUAAUUUCUCGACAUUGCUAAUUGUGGGUUUAUAAUUUUUUCUUGUUAGGUUGCAAACAUUUCCCUUGUGAUUCCACAGCAAUGUGCCAAAAACAAAUUGAUCAAGAAAAGUAAAAUAUAUUUAGAUGUUUAAUCCAUUGUCAUUCUACCCAUUACUCUUGAAUUUUAUUUUAUUUUUCCUUUUGAGACCACUCAUUAUUCUUUAGAUUGAGGUAUCAAUUAAAAACAUACAAAUCACACAAAAUAGUGGAAAACGGCAAAAGAGAGAAUUUGUUGGCGGAAAAUUGUCCACAAAUAUACAAAUGAGUAAAGGUUACACAAAAGAGAUCCUUUUUCUCAUAUGGCAGUGCCAUAAAUAAAAAUGGUCACAUGGAAUGCUUUUUUGUAAAUUUUCUUUUCUCUUUUGCCUAUUUCAUUUUCUGAGUGCUUUUUUUUCCUUUCUCUGCUUACCUUUAGAAUUUUGUUUUAAACCGACAUUAUUCAUAAUCUCAUGGUUAUACUUCUCUGAUAUUUAGCUUGGAUUAGUUUUUGUGCUUCUUGUUUGUUAAGUAUCAGUGUAUCACAACCAUAUCAUACCCAUAUGUAUUCAUCAUUUCUUAAAUGCAUAUUCGUUCUGAUUAAAAGUUGAUUCUGCCGCAACUACUGUAAACAAAAGAUUCACCAUCACACUUCAUUCAUUUCUCAACUUUAUAAUCUUUUAUCGAUGUUAAGUUGUUUGUUUGUUUUUUUCUCGAAAAUAUAUAUGUAUCUUCUAUAUUCUUUGACUUUUGGAUUUGUCACGUACAAUGUAUAAACUUAGAAAAUAUAUUUGCAUCGUUCAGCAUUUUGACUAUUAUAGGGCAUAAUUUUGGAGCUUCAUGCAAAGGCAAAAAGGUAAAGAACAAUCACCAUAGGUUAUGACGUAGAUUAUUAUAAAGAUUAAAUAAUAUCAUUGUCAUCAACAUUACUUAUAACAUGUAUAUGAUGGAACGUUGGUGGCGGAUUUCGAUUUCUUAUAACAUAAAUUCCAUCUUUUCUGGCAAUCCAUUCACGGUAAGCACCAUAUCGACGAACGUUAGCCAUUCUGUAUGCUAUAAAUUCUGAAUAAUAUCGCAUGUAUAAGCCGUGUUUCAAAAGACAAGUCCAUCUUGUCCUUCUUCCUAACUUGUCUGCGAAUACGAUUUCCUUUGAUUCGUUGAAUUGUAAAUUUGCGACGUCUAAAUUGUUGUCUCUUGAAUGACAAUGGUAUUGAAGAACCAAACCGGAACCAAGCUCGUUCGUAAUGAAAAUUUUGUUUUUCGGACAUGGAAACAUGUCAAAAAAUGCUACAUUCAAUCUUAAACACGUCGCAACGACACACAUAAAAUUAUAAAACGAUUCAUUAUAUUUUUCGAGUAAUAUGAACUCCAGUUUGAAUCUGAUAACAUCAAUUGUGCAGUAUAUAUAGUUAUUUGUGUGGUUAGUAUUUUUUAUUGUCUUAAUUAAAAUUAGUUAAACUGAAACACAAAUAUGAAUUAUGAAUAAUAGGUAGUAGUAUCGAAAAGUAUGGUUGACCAAUAAAACAAAACCAAAUGAAUUCUACCGUGACCACAUAAUAAAACAUAAGAUUCACCAUCACCUUUUAUUUCUCAACUUAUAUAAUCUUUUAUCGAUGUUAAGUUGUUUAUUUGUUUUUUUUUCUAGCAAAUAUAUCUCUAUCUUCUAUAUUCUUUGACUUUUGGAGUUGUAAGUUGUAACUCUUACAAUGUGUAUAAUAAACUUAGAAAAGAUAUUUGCAUCGUUCAGCAUUUUGACUAUUAAAGGGCAAAAUUUUGGAGCUUUAUACCAUGGCAAAAAGAUAAAGAACAAUCACAUGAAUGACAUAAAUGAAAAACAAAAUAAUGAAAUAAGAAUAAAACAAAUACCGGUAAAUAAGGGCAAAAGUGGCAUUAAGUGUCUCUGGCGAUUGGGCAGAGAUAUAUAAACUGCGUCUCUCUCCUUUCAUCGUCUCUUGUUUCCAAAUAGUCACAUUCAGAGAAAGAGAGAGACUCUUUAGAUUCUGAAGAAGAAGAGAUUGUUUUUUUUGCCUUUAUCAUCAUCGGUUUAUUAAUGGUGGAGUCUCUGUUUCCGAGCAUAGAAAACACAAGUGAAUCGUCUCCGGAGUCGAGACGGAAGAAACCGAGGAUAUCGGAGAUGGCGGAGAUAGAGUCACGACGGAUCAACGAAGAAAGCUUGAAGAGAUGGAAAACGAAUCGUGUGCAACAGAUCUACGCUUCUAAACUCGUCGAAGCUUUACGUCGAGUUCGUCAGAGGUCUUCCACCAGUACGGAGACCGAUAAAGUCGUCUCCGGUGCGGCGAGAGAGAUACGUGAGACGGCGGAUCGAGUUCUGGCUGCGUCGGCUCGUGGUACGACUCGGUGGAGCAGAGCGAUUUUAGCGAGUCGCGUCCGAGCGAAGUUGAAGAAACAUAGAAAGGCGAAGAAGUCAACCGGAAACUGUAAAUCGAGAAAAGGUGUGACGGAGACGAAUCGGAUUAAAUUACCGGCGGUUGAGAGAAAACUGAAGAUUCUCGGCCGGUUGGUUCCCGGUUGCCGGAAAGUCUCUGUACCGAAUCUUUUAGAUGAAGCGACCGAUUACAUCGCGGCGUUAGAGAUGCAGGUUCGAGCCAUGGAAGCUCUUGCCGAACUUUUAACCGCCGCCGCACCACGAACGACGUUGACGGGAACUUAACGGCGGCGGCAGUUAGUUUGUCAGUUGUUAAUUAGCUUUUGUUUUUUUUUACCUUUUUACCCCUUUAUUUUGGCUCAAGUGUUUUUUUUUUUUUUUUUUUAAUCGUCGACGCUAUUUUAAUUUAUUAAAUUCAUGUAUUUUAUUUGUAUACAUCAGUUUUUUAUUUGUAGCCAUUUUGAUCUUUCUUUGGUUUUCCUUAGAUAAUCAAAGUUAUCUAAACAACAACAACAAAAUGCCAACUAAUCUCGAUUCCAAAAAUUGUUUAACCCUGUAAACCAAAUUAGACAUAGAAAUUAAAGAAAAAAAAAAGUAAAGAGAAGAAUAAAAGUUAAAUAAAUAAUUUGCAAGUUGAAGCAAUUCAAAAAAUGAGCAUGUGCGUGUAACGUGUUGAGGACACCCACCUUAAUUUUGGGGCCAAUGGACUCCAUGUGAUUCUUGAAGACUUUUUCCGACGUUGAAGUUUAUGUCAAAAGUGUAUUUUUGCUCAAAUGCCCUCAAAAUCUUUCAAACUGAUUAACAAAAACAAAUUUACUUGAAUGUCAACAUUAAUUAUGAUAAUAAGGAGUAGCAUACGACUCUUCAAGAGAAUUGACAUUAUGAAAAAUUGACGAUUAUGGUAUAAAUACAAGUUAGUAAAAGUUAGUUGUCAGAAGAAAUCCACUAGGAAUGACAUUGAAAGAAGUGGUGAGCAAAAAAAAGGACCACAAGAAAUGGAACCAAAAGAAGGGGAAACAAAAAGAUUGAGAAAUGAGUCUCUUGGAACAUCCUUUUUCCCUCUUUAAGACUCCCCACGUGUGCUCUUUCUUUUUAACACCCGAUAUGUCUUUCUAAAGCAUUCACACCUUUUUUAUACAUCAAAUUAAAUGAGCAACAUGUUUGUGGGUCAUUGUGUCUAAGUGUCUUCCGAGUUAUAAGAAGAUUUCUCCCAAAUAGUUUUCACAAAACCAAUCCUCAUAAGUCGUUUGGAUCGAGCUUGGAGGAUGUGAUAUAGUUUCGACCUAUAUUGUUAAGUAAAUAUAGACGAAACUAAAGAAUCUAUAGAUAAUUCAGAAUUUAUGGUUAAUAUUUAUUUGUCAACUGAUAUAGGUCAUCCAAAUGUUAUCCAUCGACACGUACAUUUGCAUCUUUUGUUCUUUUCUAUUUUUCUUAAUACGGCUGAUAUUGUUUUUCAUAUGAAUGUUUCACAUGAUACGGUUUUGUAAAGAAAAGCGGAAUUAAUAGAUGUGAAGAAAAAAAUAAGUAUAAGUAUGUUUUGUUAAUUAACUAAUAUAACUGCAUCGAACGAUAGCUACAAAACAAAAGAAAAGAAAAAGAGAAAAAAAAAAAAAAAAAAGGAGAAAACGUGGAGUUGGCCAUAUGUGGCUAAAAGGUAGACCCAAUGUGAUCACAUGCAACCAUGUGACUCCAAUUAUGAACCUCAUAUGUGAAUGUGGCCAAGGAGAUGCCAAAAUUUGAAGAAUCCCCUCUUUCUCCCUCUUUACACAACGCUAAAUUUUACAUUACAAUUCAUAAUUAUCAACUGGCCAAAACAAAACAAGAGUUUUUUUUACAAUUUUCAUCUCACUCACUUUGUGCUUGAGUCUGCUUCCCUAAAACCAUUAUUAGAGGAUAACGCAGUGACUAGUGGCUACCAACGAAAUGGCCUAACAAAUUUUGAGUAGAUGAUUAUAUGAGGUUUUUUUUUUCCUCACUUUAACUUUGGAAUCCGUAGACUGAUCAAUAAAAGAGAAGGGAAGUACAAUCGGUUCACCGGCAGAAUAGACCGGACCCGAAUGUUGAGUAGUGGAAACAAUGGGUCCGACGACUAGAGAAGCAAACAAAAACCCAUUUCAACAAAAUUUAAUUCAACAAAUACUCUCAUCCCCUGUUCUAAAAAUCCCCGCCUAGCCCCGAUUACUCCCCGCUUAAUCGCUAGACCCACCCUAUCCGCCUCGAUUAAUGACUAAUCCCCUAAAAAAUCAGUAACCCGAUUAUUCUCCGCCUAAUCCGAUUACUUCCCGCCUAAUCCGAUUAUUUUCCACCUUAUCUUAUAUACCCCGAUUAUUUUUUAGAUUGCAAGUAUAAAAAAACCUUUUAUUUUUGUUAUUCAAUCAUUUGAAUGGGGAGUUUGUGAUGUUUUACAAUAAUUUGUGUUCAAAUUUUAAUAAAAAUCAUAAAUUUGUAAUAAAAAUCAUAAAUUUUUAUAAUAUUGGAUUAAUAUAUUUUAAAAAUAUUAAAAUAACCCUAAAACUAAUCCCCGAUUAAUCCCCGAUUUUAAUCCGAUUUUCCGAUUAAUCGCUAGGCCCAUGCCGAGCGCCCGACUAGCGCCUAACGAUUUUUCAAACAAGGCUCUCAUCCAUAUCUUUUCUUUUCAAGUACGUUUGGUUAUACACACGUAAAAGACUUUUGCGUGGUGUAAUGAGAUGGAACACGUGGCAAGACAGCAUGCACUCGCACAUGUCUUUGGUCAGACAGAUUUCGUUGUCUUUGAACUGUGCUCGUGUUUUCUUACAUUUCCGCACGUGGUCUCAAGUCAACCAUUAUCCACUUCAACUCCUACAAUUUUGUUUCUAUAUCACUACCUCCAUAUCUAUACUUCUUUUACUAUUAGAUCGUUCGGAAUCUUGCAUCCAAGCUCUUCUUGGACUUGCGUCAAACAAUUCACUCUUCAUGGAUUCCUCCCGUCGAGUUCCUUUUUACAGGAUAUGAUUGAUAAUGUUUGAUGAUGGUGAAGGAAAACAUGUGGACAGAUAAAUUGAAGAGUCGAUAGUUAAAUUUUUGUUUUAUCAAAAAAGCAAAAAGAAUAGUUAAAUUUUGGUUUUUAUUUAUAAUGAAACAAUAUAAUGGCCGUUUUCAAUGACAUUAAGUUCAUUGAAGUGCACUGUUAGAAUCUCUUCGUGCCACCCUAAUUCGGAACAUUAAUGAGAGAGGCUAUAUAGAAGCAAACAAGUGUCGGCCUUCCUUGAUGUAAAAGGUCCCAAUCUAGAGCAAUGAAACACAAGACAACUUUCUUUAGACAAAUAUAAUCAAUCUGCCUUUAUUUAUCUUCUUUUUUGGUUAUUGGAACUAUAUAUUUCGUUUCUACAUUAAUGAAACGAGUUAUAUAACUAUGGUGCUUUCAUUGAGCAACUAAACAACUACACAGCUACAACUAUGUCAAUGGAGAUAUGGGCAAGAGUCAUGUUCCUACAUAUCAGACCAAAGGAUCCCUAUUAUCGUGAAAGAACGACUAAACGAGGAUAACAAAUAUAUAUAAAGACUUAAUUAAACAACUUAUUUUAAAUUUGUUAUUGUUCUUGAUGUUUUUUCCCGCCACUUGUUGUGUUGGUGACGUAAGCUCAUCGGUCCUUUUUUGGAACUCUUCCUCCGACACGGUUCGAGAUUUUUCAACCCGACAAACAACUCUUCAUCCUCUUCUUCACAUUAAAACCAAAGAAAAAAGAAACACUCUUCAUCCUCCAUCAUCGCCUGUCCUUCAUACAAGCUUGUCUUACUUCCCUAUCGUUUUUUAAAUUUUUUCUCCUUUUUUUCUUUUGGGUAAUAAACUUUUAUAAGAAAAUUUUAAAGUUCUAUCCCUUAUAGAGUUGUAAGUUUGAUGGAAUAUAACUAGUUCGAACGUGUUGCAAUCUCUUAUUAUUUGCUAUGGUUCCGAACAAGACUGUAGCUGGAUGAAGAAACAGCAACUCUUUUGAUGUUGUAGAACAAUUUACUAUUUAUCAGACGCAAUUUUUAAUUACGAAGAGUUUUUAAAAUAUAAAGGUUUACUUUAAUUAUAGAUGCUUUCUGUUUCCGUGCAAAUUACUACUAUUUAGUUUUGCUUAAUACUGUAUUCGAUAAUCAAAUACUUUUUAUUUUCAUCAAAAAGGUUAAGGGAAAGUAGCCAUCAUGGUUAAGCUCUGUCACGACACAAACAAAUCUGUUGCCGCCAAGUCAGCUUUCGAGAUCAUCAAUUAUGCGUGGAAGAUCUUGUCUGAUCCUCAAAAACGAGAAAAUUACAAUAUUAAAAAAGGGUUUAGGAGGAGAUGAUUCGUGUCUUCAGAAGAUGAACCAUACAAGGGAAAAGUUACUGAUUCUAAUUAGAUCAUAUCGUAACAGUUAAUAGAGUUUUCAGUUUUCAUUUCGUUGUUGGGAUACAAAACCUAUUUUUCUCUUUCUUUUUUUUAAAGGUUAGUUUUUUGAAUUCUCUUAUAUUUUAGUUAGGUUAUCAACCACAAGUAAAACUUGCGAACCUUUGGAAGUGCUAAAAGAUAUCUUUACAAACAUUUAUUGAAUUUAUUUUAAUGCAAAAUUUACAGAAUAUCAGAAUGUGUUUCGCUGCCAUAUGAUUGAAUAUUCUUGAUUUGGGCAAAUAAGUACGAUUUUAAGGGCAAACGCAGUUGUGCACUUUUUUGGUGGAUGUAAAUAUUAAAAUAAAGAAAAUAAUUGCAAAAAUUGGCUUAGAGGAGACACCCGCGUGUAGUCUAACACUCGGGUGUGAUGCAUUAUAAAAAAGGAAAAAAAUUUAUUCUCUCUAUCUUUCUCUUAUCUCUCUCUCUUUUUUUUCUUUCUCGUAUCCAACAAAACUUUUGCAUUAUUUUCCUUUUCUUUAAUACUUAAACCCCAAGGCUGAGAUCCCCCAUUACGUUUGGUCUAAUGCUAUAAGGUAGCAAUUCAUGUAAAAGAAUUGGAAUUACGUAUAACAACGAUAAAAAAAAUUGGUUUUUGUUUUAAUGCAAGAUAAUUACAUAUAGCGAUGAUUUGUUGCAAAAAAAAACUAAAAAAGAUUCGAAACUUGAUUGCAUAUAUAAAAAAAUAUCCAACAAAAUCCGGAACAAUUAAAACUGAUUAAACAAAAAAUAUUGCGACAGCGUGGCAAUACUUCUCUGUCAGAAGGAAGGAUCCAAAUAGGUCCAACAACCAAUCAAACACCGACCCGGAUCCGAACCCGAAAACACCAGACGACUCGUCCUCCACGAUCCCAUUUCUCCAAUUUCAAUUCUGCCAAAGAGCGAGAGAGAAGGGAAGAUCCAGACGAAGUGGUUUCAGGGAAGAUAGAAAGAGAGAGACUUUAACAAACGAUGUCGCUGAGGCCGAGCACACGCGCAGAGUUAAGGAAGAAGAUAUACAAGACAGGGGUCGAUGCCGAUGAGGCGAGGCGGAGGAGAGAGGACAAUCUCGUCGAGAUUCGGAAAAACAAGCGUGAGGAUAGUCUCCUCAAGAAGCGUCGUGAAGGAAUGAUGCUUCAGCAGCAGCCUCUCGGAGCUGGCCUUGACGGUCCCCAGAACGCUGCCGCCGUUGAGAAACGAGUAAGUCCCCGCUGAUCUGAAUUUCGAUACAAUUGUGAUUUGAUUAUUUAGUGAUGGAUCUUUGUUUGAUUGUUGAAAAAAGUGAGGCUUUGAUUCUGUUUCCCACCUUAAUUCUAGAUCUCAGCUGCUUGAAAACUCCCAAUCUCAUAAUUGACCAUCAUAGUUGGGUUCUUUGGUUUCUGGCAUUUGUUUAUGGAUAUCUGGGAUUGAUGGCGGAUCUUUGAUGACCAUAAUUCUGAUCAUGUAUGCUGAUCGCAAUGUAUACUUUGCUUUAGUUAGAUAUCGGGAAUUCGAGUUUCUGAUCUGAUGAUCUUGUUAUUGGAUUGGAUGUGUUACAUUUCUAGCCAAGGGGUUUCGUUUCUGUGGAAACAACUGUUUGAUGCUGUUCAUGUGCUUUUGACAGUUAGAAGGUAUCCCAAUGAUGGUACAAGGUGUUUAUUCUGAUGAUCCUCAAGCUCAGCUUGAAGCCACUACUCAAUUUAGAAAGUUGUUAUCCAUAGGUUGGUAUACACUUUCAAAAUCAAUUUUCUGUUCUGGGGUUAUAUGUGUGUAAUAGACAUCUGAUGGUUGCGUGUAACACCAUUUGAUAACCAGAGCGUAGUCCUCCAAUUGACGAAGUGAUCAAAGCUGGGGUUGUCCCUCGAUUUGUGGAGUUUCUUGGAAGGCAAGACCAUCCGCAAUUGCAGGUAUGUCUUGUACUUCACACAUGUUAGAUUUGUCCUUUAUCAAUUGCACCUUAAAGACUCAAGAAUGUUUGUUUGGUGGCUUAACGUAAAGUUUGUUUGCAGUUUGAGGCUGCAUGGGCUUUGACCAAUGUUGCGUCAGGAACAUCAGAUCAUACUCGGGUUGUAAUUGAACAGGGGGCGGUUCCUAUCUUCGUUCAGCUUCUUAGCUCUGCAAGUGAUGACGUUCGAGAGCAGGUUUGCCACUAACUAGCUAGAUAACUGUGCACUUCCAUUUUAUAUUGUGACCAGGAUACAUGCCUCUAAGUUCUAUGGUCGUAUUUGGUUUAUUUGUUGUUUCUUAUGAUCCUUAGUGGUUUUUUUGUGAUAUGAAAUUAUAGUCAGCCAAGUGCUAAAACGUUUAGUGGUUUCUUACAAACCCUUACAUGAUAUCAUUGUAGGCGGUGUGGGCCUUGGGAAAUGUUGCUGGGGACUCUCCAAACUGCAGGAAUCUUGUUCUCAACUAUGGGGCUCUUGAGCCAUUGCUGGCUCAGUUAAAUGAAAAUUCUAAGUUGUCCAUGCUAAGAAAUGCUACAUGGACCUUGUCCAACUUUUGCCGUGGUAAACCACCAACACCAUUUGAACAGGUAGGACUACAGAAAUGGAUUCUCUUUAGUUUUUUUGGACAACUUAUGAUUGAUGGUUCAAGUUUUUUUUUUUUUUUUUUUUUUUGAAUAUAUAUGUUUCGUUGCGUUCCUCACAUUACUCAAGCCUAGUGUUGGGUAUUCAUAUGUUUCAGGUGAAGCCUGCGUUGCCAGUUCUUCGGCAGCUUAUCUAUCUGAAUGAUGAAGAAGUUCUCACCGAUGCCUGCUGGGCUCUCUCCUACCUUUCAGAUGGCCCCAAUAAUAAGAUUCAGGCUGUGAUUCAGGCAGGUGUCUGUCCACGACUUGUGGAGCUUCUGGGGUUAGUUCCUUUUUUCCUGGCUAAUAAUUGACUAGGCAUCAUUUUUGUUUAUUUCUCAUCAUAUUUAGUCUCUCUAGUUUUUUCCUUUGGAUUCCUAGUGCUAUAUAAGUUGGCCUUUCUCAGUGAAGUGUUUCUAUCUUCAAAUUUGUGAUGCUUUUUUAGUAUCUUUUUAAACUGAGUGUUGAUGUUCUUACUGCCUCAUAUUCUUGUUCCUUUUGUAUACUAUUUUUUUUUUGGGUAAAACUAUACUAAUUGAUAUUUCUUUCAUCAAGUCAUCAAUCACCUACGGUUCUCAUUCCUGCCCUUCGAACUGUUGGGAACAUUGUAACUGGUGAUGACUCUCAGACACAGGUAUGUUUUAUGACGAACGGCUAUUUAUAUUGUUUUGGGUGUUUGCUUUGGGAUUUUGACUAUGACUGUGUCUUUGCUUUUCAGUUUAUAAUUGAUAGUGGCGUACUUCCACACCUUUAUAAUUUGCUUACGCAAAAUCACAAGAAAAGUAUAAAAAAAGAAGCUUGUUGGACUAUCUCGAAUAUCACUGCUGGGAAUAAAGUUCAGAUAGAGGUAUGAGGAUUUUUUUGCUAUCUUUAAUAUGUCAAUAAGACGGUUGUUCAUGGAAGAUAGUAUGCUAUUUCAUUUCUGAUUCUGCAAGAAAAGUGAAAAAGUUAAGGAUUUUGACUCCUUUCUUGAGUUUAGAGCGAGCAAAUUUUAGUACUUUCAUAUUUUCCAAUAACUUCUCUGCCUAGAAACCUAAUUAUACCCUAUUUGCUAUUGCUAUAUGCCAACAAUACUUGUUACUGAAAAUAUUUAGAGUCUUCAAAGUUUCAGAGGCUAAAAGCAAAUUUUAAUCAGUUUAUAUAUUUGAAACAAUAGGCUGUGGUUGCCGCUGGAAUAAUCCUCCCUCUUGUGCACUUGCUCCAAAACGCGGAGUUCGAUAUAAAGAAGGAAGCUGCUUGGGCUAUUUCCAAUGCUACCUCAGGAGGGUCUCAUGAGCAGAUUCAGUAUGUCAUCUCUAUUCUGAAGCACGUUUGCAAACAACUAACUUCACUUCACAAUGUUCCCUCUUCUGUCUUUUACCAUUAUCUAUCUCGAAAUCGAAAACUGCCAUAACACAGUUUUGCAUGCAGAUAUUUGGUGACCCAAGGCUGUAUCAAACCACUAUGUGAUCUUCUAAUCUGCCCUGAUCCAAGGAUUGUGACGGUGUGCCUUGAGGGGCUUGAAAACAUUCUCAAGGUUGGUGAGGCUGACAAGGAGAUGGGAUUAAACGGUGGGGUGAAUCUGUAUGCUCAAAUAAUAGAAGAAUCUGAUGGGUUGGACAAAGUUGAAAACCUUCAAUCCCAUGAUAACAACGAGAUAUAUGAGAAGGCGGUUAAGAUAUUGGAGAGAUAUUGGGCAGAAGAAGAGGAAGAGCAGAUUCUGCAGGACGGCGGGAAUGAAAAUUCACAACAGGCCUUCAAUUUCGGAAACAACCAGCCCGCUGCUCCCCCUGGCGGAUUCAAAUUUGGCUGAAAAGGUAUACAGUAGUACAAAUUGAAAUCCUUUGGUUUGGGGAACAUGAGAUUCAGCUUUUGCAACUGUUAUUGACAUUUGCCAGGUUCAAGUUCGAGUUUUUGAGUUCUGAUGCAAAAAAGGCUUAUUUUUUUGUUUUUUUUGUUGUUGUUGUCCUUAUUUGUCUGAAUCAUUCUCUGAUUCUGUAUCUUCAACUCUGGGAUGAAUUAUAUCUAGUGUGGUUACUGGUUUAGGAUAUGGUCACACUUUGUAUUUGUCACUUUUAUCUAUGUUGUUAUUAUAGUUUUAUAACUUUUACUUGGCAAAAGUACAAAUACAAGAAAUGUUUUGAUUGCAAGAGUCUUGUCUUGUUAAUAUAGUCCUCAAAUGAAUUGGUAAAGGAAAACUUUAAUCUCAUCAAUAUAAGGAGACUUUGUAGGAAUGAUGUGGCCAAAAUCAUGCUCAAUAAUGGUGGCGCAUCCGUCAUCAAACAACCCCGCCAGAUCUGAGCUGGCUUGAGUCACAAUCUGUCUGUCUUUUCCAGGCUGGCUUCCAAAUAUGUGAAGUGAAGGGCAUGUAAUCGAUCCUUUCUCCUCCUUCUCUAACAAUGGCCACGGUGUGAAACCCGAGCACAAUACGCAGAAUCUGAAGUCUAUUUCACCUACGAGCUGCUCCUGUUUCCCACAUACAGCUGCAGCCAUUGCCGCACCUUGAGAGAAUCCGAGAAUGCCAUCAAAAGGCCCUUUCUCUGCAAAAACCGUCUUCAAGUAUGUCAACGAUUUAUCAAACCCUUCAGUUUGAGUCUGAUACUGCAACGGAUCGAACUGGCAUUGGGCCACUGUCCAGCCUGUUUCACUCGGCUGAUCAAAAUCUGAUGACACCAACCACGCAAACUUCUUGUUGCAUGCUCCGGAUGGAGGGGUAGCAGUUUGGUAGAUGAACUGUAGUUCGUGUGGUGCAUCGAUAAAAACAAGCUCGGCAAUAUUCUUCAGUUUCUUUGCUAGUGAUCCGGUCCUCCCUUUGAAGCUAGACGCGUUCUGCCUAAAACCAUGCAAGCACAAUAUCCUCAGCUUCCGUCUUAUAUUGUCACCUGACAAUAGAAGUGAAAUGACAAAGUUUCCAGGGAAAAAGGGAUUAAAUUUUUUGGAAAAGUCCUCUGAUGUUUCAAACAUUUGAUCCAAAAAUGAACAAACAGACCUUACCAUUGCUUUCAGAAGGUUGGUUUGAGGGAUCAAGACUCAAAGGGACUUCACUUUUUCCGUGUUUACGACACAGCUCACACACACAUAUAUCUCCUUUAACCUGCAACAGCACAUCGUAAGUCCAAGUUACACAAUCCUUGUGAAGUUAAUCAAUAAAAGUGGUCUGGGUGCAUUACCCGACAAUGAUUACAGACUAAAACAAGCAUCCGGCAUAAUUUGCAACGGCAACGUGGAGAAUAGUCGUCAAAGGUAUUGUUGCAGAGAAGGCAGCUGCCUAUUAUAUCCCCUUUUGAGCUCCCAACUGAGAUCCUUCAAACCCGACAUGAAAAUAUAUGUUAUCCGGACCUAUAUGUUCCUGGUAGAUUAGAAAAGAAAGAUGCUAGAAAUAUACCGGUGAUCAAACACAAAGUUCUUCCCUUUGAAGAACCCACCACUGGGAAAUUGUUCAAGGUAUCUCUGUAUGCCACCAUAGAGCUGCACGAAACAAAUAACGACUGGAGUCAGCCAAGUCCAGUGACUUGUAUCAAAUCCAUUUGCGAUCGAGGAUCUCACCUGAAAAGUAUUCUCAAAUCCAGCGCCUUUAGAUCUGAUAUAUGCAGAUGCCAUUUCACAUCUGAUUCCACCAGUGCAGUACCUAGAUUCGCCAACACAUGAGAACUUCAGUGAUGUGGAAAGUAACUGGACAAGAAAUCGCUGUAUGUCACAGAACUAUUAUUCAUACAUGAGCACAUUUUUGCCCUUCAAUUUCUCGGCAUUCUGAUCAAUCCAGGUUGGCAAAUCGCUAUACUGCCUGAUUUCAGGAUCAAGGGUCUCAACAUUGUCUGAUUCAAAUUUUCCAAUCCGUGUCUCGUACAGGUUCCUCGCAUCAAGCAAAACAAGAUCCUUAUUCUCAGACUUCCCAUCUCCAUCCAGAUGUUCAGCUGAGUUGCAAGGAAACAAAAUCAGCUAAGAAAUGCAAUAUAGCCGUAAGUAAUAAAACAAAUAAAGAAACUUACUGGCACUCUGCAAGACCGAAUGAAACUCCGCAGCAGAAAGAUGCUUUCCAGCAUUUGAAAUUUCUGGGGGUUUAAGGGGAGGGCAAGGACUAAAGGUCACUAACUCCUGCAAACCACAACACAAUACCACAAAUCUAUAAAAAUGCUAAAAAGGCUAUGGAAGUCCAGUCACAGUCGAACAAACCUCUGACACAAUGACAAAAAAUUCAUCCAUCAGAUGCAAAAAAGUGAACUAAGAACAAAAAGAAAACAUUUGAAGUCCGGAGAAGACAAACAAGCUUAACUCGACACCAAGUCAUCGUUAAUCUUGUAAAAUUUAAGAUUUAAUCAGCACAUACAACAUCAAGGUCAUCAUCAGUUAUAGAGACUAUACAAAGAAUAGGCAUGAAUUUUGUGAUUUAGUAGAAAACAUUCAGUCAGAUGAGCUAGGAGAUCAAAACAUGAAUAUUUUCCCAGCAAAGGAAUCUUACGCACAUGUUCCAUAGAUAAGAACUUAACAUAACAACAGUAACUAUGUUUGGUAAGAAGAUAAGGCAAUAACCUCAACAACUCGGAUGGAGAGUGAUGUAAACCCACAUUCCUCAGCAACUUUGUCAUUCAAGGGAUGAUGGCAAGAUGCAAGCUUGAAGUCAGUCCCUUCAAACAAACAAUUCGACUUUGCGGCGGCAAUAUGUUCCUCCAAUGCAGUUAAUUUCCCACCAACCUAACCAAUAAGCAAAGUUUUCUAUUAUCCCAACCGUAUAAACAGAACUCUAGCAAAAGCUUCAAACUUUUGGUGUCUGCUUCUUUAAUGGUUAAUAUGGAUUACACUCGUAAGUCGUAACUGCACAUGGAGAACUUUAAUCCUCAAUCAAACAACUAAUAGAACACUUCAAAAGGUUUGGUUUUUAUUUUCCUUUCAUUCAACUUCAACAACUUACUAGACUUUCUUACUAGAUUCAACUCAAACCAUAACAUGAUUUCAAGAACUUAAUCAAAAGUACAAUUCAAAACGGUUAAGACUUUCUUUUCAUUCCUCUCAACACAUAAAGGAAUAGACUUUUCGAUUCAUGGCUUUAAUACUCAAUCAGACAGAGAACUCAGAAAAGGGUUAAAUCAAGUAUACAACUUUGGAUAUGCAGAGAAGGAGAUUAGAAGCAUACAGUGACAUUGACUCCCUUAGGAGAGAGCCUGACUCGGCCGAGUAGACCUAAUGAGUUGCAGCUAGAUUCAUAGAAGGAAACGAGCUCAUCAAGAUCAGGAACAGAGGUGUACUUGUAAUACAGCAACACACCGUAUUGCUCUUCAUCUUCAAUCCUCUGCUUCUCGCCAUCGCCACACGAGCUCGUUCCCAUUAGGGUUUCUCUUCUUUUCAGUGAGAUAGGGAAGCAAAACGAUAAUCUCAGGCUCUUGGCGUCGUGUAUAUGGAACCAGGAGGAAGCCAAGACUGUUUCAGAGCACGAUUUGGAAAACCACGUACCAGAGGUGGACCAAACCGAACCUUGCUUAAACCGAAAUUUGUUUAUAAAAUCAAUUGGUUUAAUUUUAAAACCGAAUUUAAAAAGAGGUGGAGAUGAGUUUAUCUUUGGUCUCUUGAAUAAAAAAAACAUUGGUUACACAUUGUUGAUAACUCCAUUAGAGAUACUGAAAGCAAAAGACAUACUGUAUCUAAACAAAAACAGAGAGAUUACUACUUCUAUUGAUCUCUUUGGCUCUGGAAAUUCGAAUGCAACGAUACACCUUUGUGCUCGUCAGUUUUGUCCCUUUUUGUGUUUGCUUUCAGGGACUAGAGGCUUAAUGCAGAGUUUCGGUUUUGUGCUAACGAGUCUAUGUGGAAGCACUGAAACAGCAGCUACAAAGGAGCCACUUGGUAUUCUAGAGAGCGGUAACAGUUCCACCAGAACGCAUAACUGCACAUUUUUACUCCAAUCUUCAGACUUUAUAUAUAAACGGGAUGAUGCAACAAGGUUUGAAUUCUUUUCUAUAUAUAUACACUACCUCUGGAGAUUUUAGAUCCACAACUGAAUCUGGUACAAUGUCUUUCACUCCAGCCGCUACAGUUUCAAAGCAUUUGAUGCGGUCCAGCAAAGGACAUUGAUCUAGAACCUCUGAAGCUUCUUUCUGAAUCUUUCCUUUCGUCUCCUCCACACCUCUACGCUGAUACCCAGCUGCAAACUAUGUGGUGGUAUGUGGUUGAUAACCUUUGCCAUGAAUCUAACAAUAUUCUUAACAUAUACUCCUAUAUAACGGAAACUUGAUUCUAAAGACAAACUCUUUCUCACCUUCACGGGUUUUGAUAGUGUGUUGUCUUUAUUAUCGACAAACCUCUGAACAAGCUUUGAUACUGUUUCCCGAAGUUCUUUCUCUGUCAAACCACAAGUAGCUUGAACUGGGAAUAUCCGAUGGCACCAGCUGCAUCAAUCAAAUCAUAAGUUCCUAGCAGAGUGGAUUAAUAUCUACGUGGUCCAAAAUGAAUGAAAUAGGUCUGAUAUGUAAAAGAUGCCACACUUUGGGACUAUCAGACUUAAAAUAAUUAUUUAAGACAAAUCAGAACUCUAUAAGCAUGCUUCUUUAAAGGUAGAGUUGAAUUCUAAGGCAAGUGGUAGCUAUAAAGGAAGAUUUCCAAUGGAGAACGGUCAAAAGGUUAACUUUAAUCAAAUGACCAAAGGUUCACUAACUAACAUUUCACAAGAAAGACUUACAUUGGUGCCUUCAGAGCUCCAGAUUCCAUAGACUGGAAGACUCGUGAUACGAUAUUUGUUGUAUCGGGAGAGUUUUCAAUAGGGAACGUAAAGAGAAGCAAGCCACUCUUUGUCAGCUUAACCAAUGACAUGAGAGAAUUGUGUUCUUCAUUUGCUAAUUUGAGAUCCUCAACAUUUGGAUCUCCACCUAAACAAGGCACAAAAAGAAAAAAGAAAGACAAGACCAUAAGCAAAAAAAACAAGAAUUUGACUAUGCUCUUCCACAAAUGAAAGUUACCUGUUUCCUGCAGGGCAUCAUCCUCAGGAGGUACGGUCUUCUCUUCGCCAACCUCUAUCUCUUGUUCAGAAAGUUUUUGUUUUUUUGAUGCAGUAGAUCUUAGAACUUGAGGUUUCUCCUCAUGCAUGGACCCAAUAAACUGAACAAUUCAAAAGUUUGAUUUCUGUGAGACAAGCUGAACAUUUGAGAGCUAGUAACUUCCACUAAUUAAAACCCUCACUAGUGCAUUGAUAAUCAUCCUUACAAACUUAAAUUUUCACAAGUACUUUCGUUUCAAAGAUAGUGUUUCUCUACCACAAUUGAUUAUCAAUCACUCUAUAAGUUAUCUUCUAAACGCAGGAACAAAAAUCCAAACUUUUUCCUCACUAAUGAUGGAGAAAUGUGACGAUACCUUUGCAAGGAUGGACAUGACCUCUUUUGUAGCACUUUUCUCCCUUUCUGAUAACAAGUGAAAAUCAGAAAUUUAAGGUCAUGGCCGCAAAACGAAAUUAACACAUAGAAACUAAAAAGGAUGAUGAUACAAGAGCAUUGGAAAGAAGAUAUCAUACUGAUGGUGCAGGUGACGAGGAAGCCGGAAUGAGAAUGAUGAAGCAGAGAAGAGGGAGCUUUGUAGUCGAAUCGAGGGAUGCUUAUGAUGCUGGAGUGUUGCUCCCAUGGAGGCAAUGUUUCAGCUUCGUCUCCUCUUUCUCUUUUUUCACUCACAGGCUCUUCCUCUAUUGUUCUUCCAACAUCGUUUAAUUCUUCUGCAGCAGCCAUCGUUACUCUCAAAGCCAGAGUUAGGCCAAAAAUAAAAGAAAAAGAGAAAGACUUUGAGCCUCCUUAUAUGAUUCAGCGAUUCGGAAAGUGCGGUAGCGUUUUAAAACCCUGAAACGCGACGUUUAGAGAAGUAGCUUCAAAACAGCUAAACCCUGACCUGAAGCCUACCAAAUAGAACAUCAUACGAUACGAGGUCCGAUUCGAUCCUCUCAAGAGUUUGCGAGUCUAGGAGAGGAAAGAGAUGCAGGUACUUGCGCGGAAUCUAGUUCGGAGAGUAUCAAGAACUCAGGUAAAGGUAAUGCUCUCAAUUCAUGUUUUCUUCAUAAUUUGCCUCCUCCUUGUUCAUUACCAUACUCAGUUCGCGAUGACAUGUACAGAUUUGAUGAUUCAAGAUCGAAUUUUCAGGUUCGCUCCAAGUGCAAAAUAUAAAAUUUGCAGAGAUCUUGUGGACCAUAAAGUUUCAUCUUUUGAGUAGGAAUUUACUUUCUAUAAAAUUUGCAGAAAUUUUGAGACUUGAUUGCAGAGUGUACCUGACCUCCAAUGCUAAUUACUUGUGUUUCAUCAACCGAUACUGUUUGAUUAUCUAAAUUGCAACUAAUUCUACAUGUUGUUUUUAAAAUGGGGUUUCAGGUCGUCAGUCGUAAUGCAUAUUCAACCCAAAGGUUCAGAGAUAUUGGCCAGCCAACUCCAGCUUCUCAUCCUCAUGUAACUCCUAUGUGCUAUACUAUGUUCUCUUGGAUUUGCAAAUGCUAUUUAUAUGCUCUGAUGGUUCGCUCUUCCCCAUCAGUUAAUGGCAGAAGGAGAGGUCACACCAGGGAUAAGAAUUGAGGAAUACAUUGGUAGAAGGAAGAAACUUGUGGAGCUUCUUCCUGAGAACAGUUUAGCCAUCAUUUCUUCAGCCCCCGUGAAGAUGAUGACUGACGUUGUUCCAUAUACGUUCCGACAAGAGGCUGAUUAUUUGUAUCUAACUGGCUGCCAGCAACCAGGUGGUGUGGCUGUUUUAAGUGAUGAACGUGGUUUAUGCAUGUUCAUGCCGGAAUCAACUCCUAAGGUAUGAUGAUAUGUUAGUACUUGAAUUUCUCUGCAUACAGAGUGAUUUUGAUUUCUGUUUAGCAGUUUAUAAAAAUUGAUUUGUGAUGUAGGAUAUUGCUUGGCAAGGAGAAGUUGCUGGAGUUGAUGCAGCGUCCGAGGUCUUCAAGGCAGACCAAGCAUAUCCAAUAAGCAAAUUACCCGAGGUAGCUUAUAUUUCUUCCCUAAGUGGCCUCUCUUUUAAAAUUUCCUAUGUUGUUGACUUUAUUACUUCUAUAACGCGAGAUUUGUUUUAUUUUCACGUUCUUUAUGUACAGAUUCUUUCAGACAUGAUAAGACAUUCUUCAAAAGUGUUUCAUAAUGUUCAAUCGGCCUCGCAAAGAUACACAAACUUGGAUGAGUUUCAAAAGUCAGCAUCUCUUGGCAAAGUGAAAACUCUUUCAAGUUUAACACAUGAGCUGAGGUUAAUUAAAUCACCUGCAGAACUCAAAUUGAUGAGAGAUUCUGCAUCUAUUGCUUGCCAGGUAUUCUUGUAUUACAACAAAGCCAUUGUUAUGCUUAGAACUUUUCUGUUUUUAGCUUCUUAUACAACUGAAAUGCUAGAGAGUAACUGAUGAAUAUUUAAGAUGUUGGAGAAAUUUACAAGAGAUAAUGGGGCAAAUUGUUAAGUUGAUAACUUUGGCAGACAAAUGUGUGCGUAUAUAUUGAAUUUAAUCUUAAGAAUUGAUCUGACAAAAUGACGAACACAUGCAUAAAAAGCUCCCUAGCCAUGACCUGAUGGGACAAUUUUGGUUGAGGGUGUUAUAUCGUGAUUGCAUGAACAGCCUCUCGUGAAGGCAAUGCCUUGCUCAAUGAUAUGUGAAAGUUAAUCUAUUCCAAAAUUUACGUUUGUCUUGUGGCCAAAGUGCUAAGGAAAAUGAAUACAGAGCCAAUAGAACGCCAUGGACCAUUUUCUGCAUAUUUAUUGAAAAUAAUAGCUAUUACAGACAAUAAGCGUAUGGAGUGAUUUUGAUCUUUUCAUCCUCAGGGUCUUCUGAAAACAAUGCUACAUUCAAAAGGGUUUCCUGAUGAAGGCAUCUUAUCAGCCCAAGUUGAAUAUGAGUGCCGGGUAAGAGGUGCUCAGCGAAUGGCGUAAGUCUCAACAUGUGUAGAUAGUCCAUGAAUAAAUAUGUAGUUCAGGAUUUUAUUCUUACAAAAAGUAUUUCCUAUUAUUCUUAUUCUAGUGACAAGAAAAAUGUCACGUUUGAUCCUCAGAUUUAAUCCUGUAGUCGGUGGCGGCUCAAAUGCUAGUGUUAUUCACUAUUCACGAAAUGAUCAGCGAGUAAGUUUGACAAAACCCUAUUUGAUUUCUAGUACAGAGAUGUUCUUGAAGCCAGUAUCUUCUUUUUAUAAUUAUCUGCAGAUAAAAGAUGGUGAUCUUGUCUUGAUGGACAUGGGUUGUGAGUUACAUGGUUAUGUUAGUGACCUUACUCGGACAUGGCCACCUUGCGGAAAAUUCAGUUCUCUUCAGGUUGAUGUUUCUGCUUGUCUCAGUUUUCAUCUUCUUUUGUCUGGUAGUUCGAUAUUCUUCUGUUUACGUUUGUGCUUUGCCGAUAGUGUUUGGAUGAUGCAACCGAGAGAUAAACCCUUACUUACUCUCUCAUACUCUACUACCAAACUUCUUACUUUUUUCUGAGAUAUACGUAUCACAGGCUAGCUUUUUGCUUAUAAUAUUGAUUUAGGAAUUCUUCAGAAUUAUGAGAUAUUUGUUAGUCACUAAUAUCUACCGAAACCCGAUCGCCUGAAAGCAUUUUUUUUGUUAUCCAGAAUUUCUUUUGGAUUGUUUUAGCAGCGAAUAGCCCUUAUACACACUAAGAGAAACUUAUUAUCACGCUAAUAUAGGUUUUUUCGUUGCAUGUUAGGAUUGUUUACUGCAAUAUUCCAUUUGUCGGAAUUUGGACAUGUGCAUUGGUUAUGGUUUUUUUUGUGAUCUUCUCUCGAUUUCACAAUUUUUUAGAUAAAAAGAUGAAAAGUAAUUGUGAAGCUGCUUUCUUGAAACUUUCCCUAUCAAAAUAUUAAUAUUUGUAUUUUUUUUCCAGGAAGAGCUAUAUGAUCUUAUACUUCAAACAAACAAAGAAUGCAUAAAACAAUGCAAGCCUGGUACAACCAUCCGCCAACUAAACGCAUAUUCGGUAAAUAUAAACUUAUCUUAAGCCGUGUCUUCUGUGCUUAAGAUGUAUGAAACACACAAAAAGUAUCGUUUACUCUUAACAGGGGUUUGCUAUGAUGUGAAAAUAUUAUUUUACUUCUGUAGAAGGCUGGUUUACAAAUAUUUCAGAAGCUAAAAUGGACCAGAGAUUUCAUAAAUAUCAUCAUAAAAUUUAAAAGCUUUAUUUGCCAACAAAAUUAUGUUUGGGCUCAGAUGAUGCUUUGUGGUUUGCAGACCGAGUUGUUGUGCGAUGGACUGAUGAAGAUGGGCAUCCUGAAAAGUCGUAGACUGUAUCACCAGCUGAAUCCGACCUCCAUAGGUAUGCAUUAUUGAACCUUGGAUCACAUUAACUUAUUUGCAAUUUUGGUCGAUGAAACGAAUACAAUCAACUAAGGCUGAUUGAUGUGUAGAUGGUAACAUCCUUGUUAUUUUCCCGCAUUAUGCUGUAUAAAAGUUAUUAACCGAAAACGCAAAAUAUACUGUAUGGUUGGGGAAAAAACUUAUCUAACAGAAUUAUCUUGUGAUGGAUAAAAAGGUCACUACCUUGGGAUGGAUGUGCAUGAUUCAUCUGCUGUGGGAUAUGACCGUCCUUUGCAACCUGGUUUUGUAAGUAAUACUACUCUUUCAAGUCAUAGUUUUUAUAAGGAACCAAAAGUCAGGCUUAUAAUCUCUUAACCUUUCUACCUACCUUCCUCCCUCAAACACUCUGCUUGUUGAUGCUAGUCCAUCGAAACCGAUAUAUGCCCUUUGAAUCCUUAUUGUUGAAAUUUAUGUAUUAAUCAUGUGAUGGCAUUGGGUCCUUACGUUUGAAGCAAAUGGUUUUGAUGGUGCAAUUAAUAGAAUCUAAUAGGCUGGAUUACAUCAAAUGGUUUUGGUGUUUGCUAGAUAAUGGAUCUUUCAGACUCUCGAUCUCAAACUUAUGAUCGCUGUUUGGACAGGUGAUUACGAUUGAGCCAGGAGUCUACAUUCCAUCUUCAUUCGACUGCCCUGUAAGGUACAAAUGCUUUCUUCAAACUCGCACUAACUUCAUGUAAAAAACGUGGUUUGUAGGAAUAUUGGCAUCCAAUAAGCAUCGAAAUGUGUAGAUCUGAGUGAAUCAACCGCAGGAUAUGACAUGGUCUAUCGACAAGAAAUAUAUGAUUAUGUGACUUUACUGUUGAAAUUGCUUAUUGCAGAUUCCAAGGGAUUGGGAUAAGGAUCGAGGAUGACGUACUGAUCACUGAGACGGGCUACGAAGUGCUCACAGGGUCAAUGCCUAAGGAGAUCAAACACAUAGAGACAUUGUUGAAUAAUCACUGCCAUGAUAACUCUGCGCGAAGCUUCGCCAGUUUCUCUUUGCAAGGUUAAAGGUUGCAUACGAACUGUAACUCAAGACGAUUGUUUUGAAUUAAACAUCAUUGAUAAUAAUUCAAACAAAAUUCCAAACGUAAACUCCUGUUCCUUGCGUUUGACUCAUAGAAUGUUUCAUAUUGUGUUAAAGAAACCAUGACUUAAGCAUUCCGAAGUGUGGAAUUUGUAAAUAGCAAAACCAAAAGACAUCGAGUUACUACGAGAAAGUAGGGUCACAAAUCACAAUCAAUAAGUUAGGAGUUGGAACACUUAUAGUUAUGUGAAUCACUUAGUCUUUAUUGGUUAUAGUUGGUUUCUUAAGAUAGAAGAAAAAAUAAUUCACAAUACAGUAAAAUAGAAUAUGUGAUCCGUAAUACGUAACACUAAACGCCCAAGAAAUAGAUGUUUAUUCAUUUCAAAUAUAAUUGAGGAGAUCGGUUACUGGUUAGCAGGUGAAGAGAGUGUGAGAUGAUAGGCACUGCAUUUAUAUGUACGGGGCCAUGCACCACAUCACAAUAAUCAUCAUCAUUAUUAUUGUGAUGCUGAUAGCCAUAUGAUCGAUCAUGUAAGAUAUAGUUUAACCCAAAACUCGGAACAGAGCCGACACGACGUACCCAUAAACCUGCCCAACCAUGGCCAUUAAUGCUUUUAUAUGCACCUCAUCAUCAAGGGUCAAGAGUUUAGAUUUUACAUUAAGGUCUUGUCGGUUUUUCCUUUUUCUUGUAGUAAAAGGACAAUGGAUCACGUCGUUUUCGGUAGUGAGGUUUUUUCACAUUUUUUAAAAAAUAGGGUUGGUCUCAGUUUGAUACCAAAACUAAUAAAAUUUUGCUAAAAUUGUAUAAAGUCAACGGUAUGUUUUCAAUCCGAGUGUAUUUCACAUGCCAUUUAUUUUCUAAACCCGGUGGCAAUCAACGUAAUAAGAUCAGGGAACCAAGGGCAAACACACGACAAGUCACCUAUAUAUCGCAAGGCUAAGUCCCUUACCUCUCCACAACACACACAACUUCAGCCUUGAGACAAAACUAAAACUAAAAACAAAGAAACAGAGAUGGGUUUGGUUACAGAGGAGGUUAGAGCUAAGGCAGAGAUGUACACCGGAGAUGAGAUAUGCAGAGAGAAGACAAAGUGUUUCCUCAAGGAAAUAUCUAUGCCCAAUGGCUUAUUACCAUUGAAGGAUAUAGAAGAGGUUGGGUAUGACAGAGAGUCAGGUGUUGUAUGGCUGAAGCAGAAGAAGAGCAUCACUCACAAGUUCACAGAGAUCGAUAAGCUUGUCUCCUAUGGAACUGAGGUCACAGCCAUUGUAGAGACCGGGAAAAUCAAGAAGCUCACUGGAGUCAAAGCCAAGGAGCUUCUUAUUUGGGUCACUAUCAAUGAGAUCUAUACUGAGGAACCCCCUACCAAGAUCACGUUCAAGACACCGACCACACUGUCCAGGACUUUCCCGGUCACAGCUUUUACAGUACCAGAAGAAGAACCUGCCAAGGAGGAACCUGCCAAAGAGGAACCUGCCAAGGAGAAGAGCAGCGAAGCCACCGAGGCCAAGGAGGCUGUUGCAAUCAAGGAGGCUGUCGCAGUCAAAGAGGCGGCCUAAUCAAGCCU
rnacentral:lncRNA from 1 species